rnacentral:lncRNA from 1 species
AAAAGAAAAAAGUGGAGCUAUUGGCACCUCCUUAAAAAACUUAGUUGAAACCCAAUUGUCAUGUUUAUAUUUCUAUUCUUAGUUAAGAUUAGGAUUAUUAUUAUUUCACUACUUCAAAAAUUAAAAAAAAAAAUCAAAUGACUACAAAAAGUAUUGUUCCCUAUCAUUAAUAAAGAUAUAGUGAUAACACACCACAUGUACCACACACUUUUAGGAAAUAAUAAAGAUUCGAGGAAGGUCCAAUCAGGACACUGGUACGGUGUAUAUAGAAAUAUAAAAUGGGUGAUGGUUACAUUUGAUAUUGGCCCAUGGACAAAGCCCAAUAUUUUAUGUCCUCCGCACUAGGGAUGGCAAUGGGGCAGAUAUGGAUUGGAUCUAUUCUGCUCCAGAUCCAAAUCCAUAAUAAAAAUCAAGAUUCGUAUAUGCUCCAGAUCCGUCAUGAAUCCAUAUUUUUCGCUCCAUAUCCAAAUCCAAAAAAGAAAUAAAUAUCUAUAUCUGCUCCAAAUCCGAAAAAAAAUUUAAAAUCCAAAUCUGCUCUAGAUCCGUCAUGAAUUCUAAAAUUCAGUAAUAAAAAAGUAAUAAUUUUUUAGAUUGAAAAUUAAAAGCUAAAAUGUAUUGAUAACAAAUAAAUUAUAUAAUUUUUCUCAAAAAUAUAAUAAAUAUUGUAGCUUAUACUUUUACACGAAAACAACAAAUAAGAAAGAUAAUAAAAUAUCAUUCAGAAGUAAUUGUAGGAGUAAGAUCAAUCUAAUAUUCUAUUGUCUCCUUCAUCAUUCUAAUAUCCACGAUACACCUACCCUCAUUCCUACAACAUUAGAUAAUAACAUAUAAAUUAAAUAUGAUUUAUAUUCAGUCAUUUAUUAUUUUUAUUAUAACAUAUUUAACUAAAUAUACGAAUAACUAUAUUCCUUAAAAAUUAUUUGGCCAAUAUAAUAAAAUAAAUUGCCAGGUUAUAUUACUUGGCUUGCAAUUUGAAUAUUGCAUGUACAUGCUUUGGGGCUGGCUGACCUUUAAAUUUACGAAACUAAUAUUUAAGUUUUAAGAGUUUAAAUGCAUGGUAAAUACUACUAAUAUGCUAUGAAUAAAAUUUAUUAUCAUUAUAAUUCCACAAUUGUUAAGAAACUUUUAAAAUAAAAUAAAAUUAAAAGAUGAGUGGAUAUGGAUAUGGAUUUAGAUAUUAAGAUAGAUUCAUAUCUGCUCCAGAUCCGUCUUACAUCCGCACAUCGAUAUCCAAAUCCAUUUUAAACAGAUCCAAAUCCGAUCCGAUUGGAUUUGGAUCACGUGAAUCUUGGAUCAGAUCCAAUCCAUUGCCAUCCCUACUCCGCACUGGUCACUGGUUACCGUAAUUCUAAUUGAACUCAUGGAAUCCAUAAACUAGGUAUAAGACAAUAAGACAUCACUCUUUCUAGAUUAGAGUAAACCUUUUGACACACCCUUUUGAAUUCCCCGUGAAAUCAUUUUUAAAAAAAUCUAAAUAAUCAAAGUAAAUUAAUUUAUUUCUUGUUUUGAAAGGAAAUUCAAACUUUUUAUUCUGAAACGAAAUUCAAUCUAACACUUAAAUAAAUGAUUAUUUUAACAAGCUUUUUACAUCCAUCCUAUUUCAUAAUUUAUAGUUAUAUUUUAAGUUUUUUCUUUUGAAAAACUUAUAAGAAUUUGGAUUUAUGAUGAUGAAAAUUAUAUAAUAAAAAUAAAACAAUUUGAGAUUUUUAUGAUUCGUGUAAAAUUUAUAAAUUAAAAACUUAAAAAAAAAUCUUUCUAGGGUAGAGUUUUAUAGCAAGAUGCUAAUUUUUAUUUUUAUUUUUAUAUUUUUAUCAAUUAAAUUGGAGGCUUUUAGGAAAUAAAAUUUAAAAAGGGUAUUGUAAGGAUUUUAGAGGGGUGUUAGAAGCUCCACUCUUUUGUACUAGUCUUACGGACAUAUGGUUACAAUUGAUAUUAGCCUAUGGGUAAAGCUUUGUAUUUUAUGUUAUCAACUAUAAUUCUAGGUGAACUCAUUGAGGUUAGCCUUGAAUUAGGGGUGGGUAAAUUAUCCGAUCCGAUAAAAUUCAAAUCUCAAUGCAGUGAUGCACAUACAAACACAAAGUUUUGAUCCAAUCCGAUUUAUAUCGAAUCGGUUCGUAUUAUAAGUUUAGGUUGAGUUCGGAUUACUUUUUUUUCCAACUUAAUUAAUCCAAAAUCUGAUCAGGUUAAUCCGAACCCGAAUUUACCUACCCCUACAACUAUCAUUAGAGGAUAUAAUUAUAAAAAAAGGAAAAUAAAGUUAUACGAUUAUUUGCAAUAAUUAAUGUCUAAAGCAAUGAAGCAAAUAGUUACUUGGAUGAACCUCAAACACCAUCAGCAAAUAAUUCAUGUCUUAUUUAUAAGUUUGAAAAUGAAAUAUCACCAUCAGUAAUGCUUUGACAUUGUAAAUCACACUUAUCCCAUUACAAACAAACAAUUAGGUACCAUACCAUCACCUAAAUUUUAUAUCUUAAAAAUGGUCCCUUAUCUAAAUAUAAUAAUUAGUCAUUGAAAAGUCCAUAAAAUUUAACAUACAAUCAAAGACCUUAUGAUUGAUGUAAAGUGUCUUUUUAUUUUUAUUUUUUUUCAAUUUUAUUUGGUCAUACACGCAUUACUUGUUUUCUAAAUUAACAUAAAUUCCAAUUUUUUCAUUUAUUAAUAUUUUAAUGCGAUCACAAUACUCGUUCCAAGUUGUAUUAUAUGGGAUUAAUAUUAUGACAGAGUCUCAAGUCUGACCUAUCUCAACAUAGGUAGUUGAACGUAUUUGACCAAAUUACCCUUUCUUAGCGCCAAAAUUCAGUUAGGUACAAUCAAUCGCAGCAGCAAGUACUUUGACAUUUUGAAACGAAGCACACGUUUCAUUCUGGCGUGACUGAUCAGUUCCUCGCAGUUUCCCCUUCAAGCCCAAAGCGUUGACGAAGGAAAAAUGAACAGAGUCUUCACUGGUAAGAGCACAACUCUACAUGAAAGAUUCACAUUUUCUUUGUUCUUUAUUAUUUCUUUCAACUGUCACUUUGUCUUCAUGAUUUUCAUCUUCAUGAUUUUCAUUUUCUUCAUUCUCUUCGUGGCAGCCUCCCUUUUCUCCAAUUCUUAAUAAACGCCAAAAAUGCUAGGUUCAGUUCUCUUAUUGAUUGAUUCUGCUUUCUGGGUUUGUGAGAUAUGUUGAUUUUGCUUCAUGGGUUGUUUUUUCAAUUAGUUAUAUUUUGUGGGUUUUUGAAAUAUUUGGUCAUGCUUCAUUUGUGUAUUUGAUGAUCAUUUCAUUUUGCUUCAUGCUUCUUGAAUCAUUGAAAUGAUUGAUUAAGUUUCUUGUAUGCUUUGAUGGAUUGUUGAAGUAAUUGAUUUUGCUCCGUGGGUAUGUUGAACUAUUGGCUUUUAUUUAUUGGGGAUUUUAAAUUAGUGUUUUAAUUGGUUUAUUGAUUUGUGGAAAUAGGGUUACUGGUUUUGAGUUGAUUUUGAGUAGGGUUUACAAAAUGGCUCAGCUUUUGAGGAAAAUUCUGCCUGUUGUGCCAUUGAGAUCAAAACCUUAUGAUGAUGAUGAGGAUGAUAAAAAUAACACUGAAUACUCAUUUGCCAUUGAGUAUUCUGGCCCUCCGAUCAGUUCUGAUAUUCCUCUGGCGUCGCCAAUAGUUGUUGACCAAAUCCCCAUUGCUGUUACGGUUGCCUCUCCUUCCUUGUUGAGUGAUAGGUCCUUGCCAGUAAUCCAACCAAUUGUAAAAAGUACUCCAGUAGACAGAAGACGGUCGAAGGAGCCUGAAUUAAGUUCUGAACCUACAUUACGUAGUAAUUCAUUGACCAAUUCCGGUGUGUCCUUGACUGUUCCUAAUGUGCCCUGUGAAUCACAAAGUUUGGUAUAUAGCUCAGGUGAUGUUGGAUGCGCAACUGGUGAUUACUCCCAGCCCAAGUCAGUUAAUGGAGUGAGAAAUUCUAAUAAAUUCAGAAGUCCUGAUGCUCAAGAUAAUUCAUCUAACGGAAUAAGAAGUUCUGCUAAACUGAAUAGUCUUGAUUGUCAUGAUAAUUCAUAUGUAAUUCUAAAAUUAUCUGAUGGUAGUGAAGAAGGUGCAGAUGCAGGAUUACAAAAUGGUAUAAAUCCUGCCAAUUCGGAUUCAACAGAUUCUGGUUUAAGUUCACAUGAACAUACAUCAAAGCUUUUUUCUUGCAAGGAGGGAUAUUUUGGUGAUGAAGAAGCUCCUUCCAAUGUUAGAGGAUCAUCAGUUGUUAUUUCUGAUGAUCCUGAGACAAGUGAUAUAGUCCAUGAAGAAUCUGAUAACUCUGAAAGCGUCCAUGUGAGGGCAAAGGCUGAAAGGUAUGGGAAGAAAAGUUCAUGCUGUCAAUGCUUGCAGGAAUAUCAAUCUCUUGAAAUGGAGGUUUGCAUAGUUUGUGAUGCAAUGUAUUGUUGUAACUGUGUGGUGAGAGCAAUGGGGUCAACACCUGAAGGAAGAAAAUGUGUUUCCUGUGUUGAUUCCAGGUUACAUGUGUGCAUGCCCAUGUCAUCUAAUGGAAUAGGAAGUUCUGGUAAAUCACAUAGCCUCAACUGUCACGAUAAUAUGCCUGUAAACAAUGAGUUGCCCGAUAAUAGGAACGAUGGCGCUAAUGCAGGAUUUCAUGAUUAUAUGAAUCCUGCUAACUCAGAGUCAACGGAGUCAGAUCUAAGUUCACACAGUGUUUCCUCUGAGGUGUUUUCUUGCAAAGAGGGGGGUUUUAAUAAGGAAGAAACUCCUGGCCAUAUUAGAAAACCAUCAGUCGUUACUUUCCGUGACCCUGACCCAAGUGAUGCAGUUUAUGAAGAAUCUGAUUAUUCUGAGGUUGAAAGCAUCCAUGAGAGGCCAAAGGCUGUAAGGCUAGGGAAGAAAGGUUCGUGCUAUCGAUGCUCGAAAGGAAAUCGGUUCACUGAGAAGGAGUUCUGUAUUGUUUGUGGUGCAAAAUAUUGUUCAAACUGUGUGCUGAGGGCAAUGGGGUCAAUGCCAGAAGGAAGAAAAUGUGUUACUUGCAUUGGUUUCAGCGUGGUAGAUUCUAAGAGACGAAACCUGGGGAAGUGUUCUCGGAUGCUCAAAAGGUUGCUGACUGAGACAGAAGUUAAACAAAUAAUGAUAUCUGAAAUAUCGUGCAAAGCAAAUCAGUUACCACCAGAGCGUGUUUUUGUGAAUGGUGAAGCUUUAUCUCAGAAAGAGCUCGUUAUACUGCUUAGCUGCCCAAACCCUCCAAAAAAGCUAAAUCCAGGAACCUAUUGGUACGAUAAAGUGUUGGGUUAUUGGGGAGAGGUAAACAUCAGAAACUGUUGCUAUUAUUUAAUUUUCUUUUCUUGUUUAUUUUGAUUCCAUUGCACCAUGAUAGAAUUAAUAUUUGAAUUCCAUUGCACCAUGAACAGGAAGGACACCGGCCUUGCCAGAUUAUAAGCCCCCAGCUGAAUGUCGGGGGUCAGAUAAUGAAAAAUGCUAGCAACGGAAAUACAAAUGUCAUGAUCAAUAAUCGGGAGAUUACUAGAAGAGAGCUCUGGAUGCUUAAGGUUAUUUCAGUGGGCAAAUUUGUGUGUUCAUUUGAAAUUCAGUGUUUCUAAAAAUAAGAUCCAUUCUAUUCUGUAUUUCUGUUAAAUGCUGCAGUUAGCAGGAGUGCAAUGUGAAGGACAACCUCACUUUUGGGUGAGCGCAGAUGGUUCCUACACGGAAGAGGGAAUGAAAAAUGAAAAGGGGCGUAUAUGGGACAAGGUAUGUCUGCAUAUGGAUGUGCAUUGGCUUUCUUAGUUAAACUAUCCCUUAAUUUCUGAUUUGUGAUUACUGUGUAUGUACUUUACAGAGUACAAUAAAACUAGUUUGUGCUUUCUUGUCUUUGCCAACCCCGCCUGAUUCUGAGAAUCCUUGUGGCAAUGAAGUGAAUGGUGUUAACCAGUGUGAGCAGCAAAGACUUAUUAAUCUUCUUCUUCUUGGUGAACACAAAUCUGGCACGAGUACCAUAUAUAAACAGGUGAGAUUGAUUGGAACCUGUAAGAAACUUUGUCUAAUACACGUGCUAUUAUUCAUAUACUAUUAAUCUGACUGGUGAAUAUUGAAUGGCUUAUAUUUAUCAUAUAAUGCAGCCAGCUUGUGUUGUCGUUUUGCUUCAUGUCUUGUCAUUUCUAGGACUUCAAGAUUUUAGAAGGAAAGAUGUUGUAGAGCAUGUUAGUUGAUUUUUAAAAUUUGUAUUAUCUGUAGUGUACUUAUUCACAAAGAUGACAUAUUAUGUUAUUUGACUACUAGCUUAAGAUUUCAUUAUUCAACAACAUUCAUCGGAGGUACAGUAAAUUGUGUAAUUGCACUUUGGUAUGAAGAGGGUUUUUAUUGUGCAUAAAAAGCUACAUACAAGAUGGUCUCAUAUCAUCACAUUGCCGCUGAUGCUUAAAAUAUAGUAGCGGAAAUCCUUUCUCCUUCUUGGUUACAUGCUGUGUUUUGUGACUUUAUGGGAAAAUUAUGCCUUUCUAGAUCAUGUUAAGUUUUUGUAUUUGUAAUAAGGCAAAGGCCAUAAGUCUUCGUUAAGGUCUUAAGACUGAAAUUUUGAUUCCAUGGUGAAAAUUGAACAUCAAGUUUUAUUCUUUCUUUGGGCUGUAAUUUAAGCCUUUUAUCAUUUUUUUUUAUUUUGGAUCCCUUUUGUUACCUUUUUCUUUUUCUCCCUUUUUAGACAUUGAUGCAAAGGCACAUGAUGACAGAAAUGUUUGUUUCAGGCCAAACUUCUGUUUAAGGUUCCUUUCUCUGAAGAAGAGCGUCAAAAUAUUAAGUUCAUGAUCCAAAGUAAUCUGUACUUCUAUAUUGGUAUUUUGCUUGAGGGCCGUGAGCGAUUUGAAGCAGAAAGAUUGUUUGGGAAGGGAAAAAGACAGGUUAUUGACGAGCCAGGCCCUUCAGGUAACAUAAAGAUUAGAUUUACUUCUCUUUUACAUUGCUUGUAUGAUUUUCUGUUUAUUGAAUGUUCCAUGAGAUCUUGUUUGGAGCAUGCAGAUGACGUAUAAAAAUGUUUGCCUUUGUUAUCUACUGUUCUGAGUUAUUUUUGGUAGAUAUUUGACAUAUGCAUAUCACUUUUUUCUGGGAAGUCUAGCCCGUCAAAAGUCAAGUUCUUUGUUAUUAUUUUACAUGCAUGGAGAGCAUUUUUACUUUUGCUUGAUUUUUUGGACUUCUCACUUCUCAGUGCCUUUAGCGUUAAAAUUAUCAAUUGUGUUGGAUUGAAGUUCAUCACAUUGGCAAGUUGACCCUGAGGGUGGGAGGGACAACUAUGAUGUCCAGUAUUUUGUACAUUUAAUUAUUGAGAAUUUAAUAACUGUUGUCUCAUUGAAAUUUAAGUAUAUUUUAAUUCCGUACCUUCACUAUGUUCUUCUUGUGGGCACAAUUCUGGCCUGUGGUUUUGAUUUCAAUAUCUAGUAGAACAUGAAAUUUGGAGAUAAAUCAUUGCCUGCAGCCAAUUAGAACUUUCUUGUGACUAACCUGUGCCAUCAGCAGUAAACCUCAAAUUUCUUUAAAAUGUUCUUUUAACAUGUUUAACUAUUUAAAAUCAUUGGAGUAAAGAGCCUAUUGAAAUAGCAUCACAUAGCUUGUGAACAUAUUUGAUGCUUCUUGGUGGUUGCAAAUUUCAAAUUUUUUUUAAAGAAAAAUAAUCAUAUUUCUUUCUUUCCUUAUUUUCUAGUUUUUUUUUUAAAAAAAUUUCAGAGUAAAAAAUAUCCAGCAUGAAGAAAUUUAAAUUUAUAAUUAGUUUAGCAAUUGGGAGGACUGAUUUUAUUCAGGUACAACACUAAUACAGGGCAGAUUGAUGAUAAAAUGAUGUAUUCCAUCAGUCCAAGACUGAAAGCUUUCUCUGAUUGGCUUCUCAAAGUCAUGGCAUCUGGUAAUUUGGAAGCCAUAUUCCCAGCCGCUACCCGUGAAUAUGCACCAUUUAUUGAGGAGUUGUGGAGGGAUGCAGGCUUCCAAGCCACAUACAACCGGAGAAAUGAAUUAGACAUGCUUCCCAGACAUGCCACCUAUUUCCUAGAACGGGUUAGAUCACUAUCUAUGGUCAUUGUCUGCUGAGUAUUUCAUUAUUCAUAUUUGGUUCAGCUUCAGUAUGUAUCUUUUGUUUUUGGAUCAAUAGAGUCUUGAUUGUUUAUUUCAUUUGCCUCAUGAUUGUCCAGUGAUCUUGAAUAGCAUCCUCUAUUCCAUAGACAUAAUUGUCAAUGUACAUAUGACCUGCACCGUAAUUUAAAAAUUCCAAGUAUAUAUUUAAUAUUCUUGUAUUUUGGCUUCUUAUUAAUCAUGUGCUUUCUUAUCCCAUGUCAUUUCAGAAAACAUAUUUCAUAAAAGAUAUUUUUUGAAACUAAAAUGAAAGGCAUUCUGAAUUCACACCAUCAGUUCUCUUCGUGUAUUGUUUCUCAAAAGCUUGAACGAGGAAAGAUGAUUGUUUUGAUUUGUACUUCACUGUUUGCUAUUUUUUUCAAUAUUAACAUUAGUUUCCCUCUCAGGCUGUUGAGAUUUCAAGGACAGGCUAUGAGCCCUCAGAUAUGGAUAUCUUGUAUGCUGAGGAAAUUACAUCAAGCAAUGGGCUUUCGUCCAUGGUAUUUUCAUUACCGGAGCAGACACAAGAAAACUCCAUAAGUGACUCUUCCAAUCAGAAUGAUCCCUUGCUCAGGUUACUGUCUAAUCUGUGCUUUAAAUUUACGUAUAAGCCAAACAUGCAUUGCACUUUGCCAGAUUUUUGCUAUUGCUGUUGCUGUCAAAUGCCAUUGUGAGAUUUAGCUACCGAAGGAAAGGACUUCAUGGGUAGUAAUUCUGGCUUGCAGAUUGAAUUUUGGGUAGCUUAACUCAGUUUGAAUGGGGAUAUUGUCAUCAAUGAAUUGAGUCUGCAAUUCUGUUGGAACUGGAAGUUAUUAGCUAAGUUAGUGGUCCCACUUGGCUUGGCAAGACACAGAAAGAAUAAUCAGUUAAUUGCCUUUCAACUUCAAGAAUACUUUAAAUUUACCAGCAUUUCAUACUUGAGUUUUAGCUAUUGAUUUAUUUCUCUUCUUUGGCAUGAAAUGUUUUAGCAAUCAAAUAUGAAUAAUCUUUUACAGCUGUGAUGGAUCUUUGGCAUAAGUUUCUUGAAAGUGGGGAACGAUGUAUGAUUGAUUAUAAAUUGUUCAUCUAACUUACCAAUUUUUGCUUUGCACUUGCAGCUAUCAACUCAUUAGAGUGCAUCCAAGAAGCCUCGGGGAGAACUGCAAGUGGCUAGAAAUGUUUGAAGAUGUUGAUAUGAUCCUCUUUUGUGUUUCUUUGACUGACUACGAUGAAUAUUUUGAAGAUAGCAAAGGAUUUCUCACCAACAAGAUGUUGGCAAGCAGGCAGCUCUUCCAAAACAUUGUCAUUCAUCCAACCUUCAAUCAAAAGAACUUCCUUCUGAUACUCAACAAGUAUGAUAUGUUAGAGGAAAAGAUUGAAGAAGUUCCUCUCUCUCGAUGUGAAUGGUUUGAAGACUUCAAUCCGGUGAUCAGCCAUAAUCACCAUAGCACUAGUAGAAGAACUAGCAACACACCACUGGCUGUAUCUGCCGCCCACUACAUUGCAGUGAAGUUCAAGAGGUUGUUCGAUUCUCUAACUGGUCGUAAGUUGUUUGUUUCAGUAGUUACUGCCUUGGAGCCUGAGACUGUAGAUGAAGCUCUCAAUUAUGCAAAGGAGAUUCUGAAGUGGGAGGAAGAGGAACCUGUCUACACUAACAUUGAGUCAACUGAUUACGAGGCAAGCUCAUCAUCAUGAAUUUUCUUCUCGGGUUGAAUUUUGCUCAUCCAUCCUCAGUUAUACAAAACAUUGGAAAGGAUUUUUUUUUUUUUCCAAAGAUAGAAGAACAUCAGAAGAAAAUACAUUGGGUCAAGCACAUGCUUGUGUAUACUAAUCCAGAUUUGCAUAGAAGUUAGGGAGAUUAAGAUUCUUUCCUAGAGCUGUAAAGAACUGUCGUUUUGCCAUUUCAAUUAAGAUUUAGUAAAUAAAAGAAGAAUAAUUACUUUGCACAAUGAGACACAUAGCUGACAAGCUUGCAUAAAUACAAACGGACAUGGAAUUCAUUUUCGUUGCCUGAAUUUAACUGACGGAUUACAUAUCUUGUCUACAAACAAACAUGAAAAAAAAGACCUUUUUAACUACAUAAGGCUUCACAGAAAGAUUGAAUACACAUCAACAAGGCACAAACCGGUCCAUAAGCAAACAGAUAGUAGUCUCUGAUAUUGUACUUUCAUCUUCAACCUCUUUGGUGCUCUCCUUUUUAUCUUCUUUCCCACGUACUUGUUCUUUCUUAGCUCUUAACACAAACGGCUUCCUGCCUUUAACCUUCUCUCCCAGCUUCGCAAGCUCACCCAUGCAUAUCUCCACAACUGCCGACAUUUUCACUGCGAUAACCAAGAACCCACUUGGAAUUUUCAGCUGGCUCUUUCUUUCUUGUUGAUCUUUCUUUAUUGAAUAUGAAACGAGAAGCAACGUGGGGUUUAUAAAGAAGAGAAGGCGAGCAAAAGUCCACAUAGAAUUUGGCGGGUUCUGGAGACCCGCUGGUUUUGACUGUUGGGGAGAAAAAUCAAUGUGUGGAUGCCCACAGAGAUGCCGUUUUGAGAACCUUCUGUUCCAUUUAUCUUUCUUUGGAUUGGAUAUUCCCGCGUUUGCAAGAAAAUAUCCUUUUGCGUGACAGUUCUAAUGUGUGACGACUCACACAUUAAUUAUCAAUGCUCAAUUUCAAAACUAACCUCUAGUUCUUAACUUGGAGUAUUUGAUCAAACGGUGAGCUAUUAAUAUCUUACAUUGUUUUAUUAAUUUAGAGUUACAUCUUAAAACAUUUUAUUAGCACAGACUGACAGACACGUAACAAUUUUAUAUUACUAUAUAAAAUCUAAUAAAAUUAGACUCAUUAAUAUAAUAUUUGAUUAUAUAAUAAAAGAGUCUAUAAAAAUUUAUUCUGAUCAAAUAAAUAAAUAAUAAUUAGAGUGAUUUAUCCCGUGAUAUGGUUUUAAACCGCACCAAUUUUUUUUUUAAAAACUUAAAAAGAUCUUUUUAGGGUAGAGUUGUAUAGCAAGAUGCUAAUUUUAUUUUUAAAUUUAUAUUUUAUCAAUUAAAUUAGAGGUUUUUAGGAAAUAAAAUUUAAAAAGGGUAUUGUAAGGAUUUUAGAGGGGUGUUAGAAGCCCCACUCUUUUGUACUAGUGCUACGGACAUAUGGUUACAAUUGAUAUUGGCCUAUGGGUAAAGCCCUGUAUUUUAUGUUAUCCACUAUAAUUCUAGGUGAACUUAUUGAGGCUAAUCUUGAAUUAGGGGUGGACAAAUACUUCAAUCCAAUUGAAUCUGAAUCGCAAUGCAGCGAUGCACAUACAAGCACAAAGUUUUGAUCCAAUCCAAUUUAUAUUCGGAUUUAAUCGGAUUGUAUUAUAAGUUUGGGUUGAGUUCAGAUUACUUUUUUUUUUCCAAUUUGUUUAAUCCAAAAUCCAAUCGCGUUAAUUCGAACCUGAAUUUUCCUACCCCUACAACUAUCAUUAGAGGAUAUAAUUAAAAAGAAAUGAGUUAUACGAUUAUUUGCAAUAAUUCAUGUCUAAAGCUAUGAAGCAAAUACCCAAACAUCAUCAGCAAAUAAUUAAUGUCUUAUUUAUAAGUUUGAAAACGAAAUAACCCCAUCGAUAGCGCUUCCACAUUGUAAAUCGCACUUAUUCCAUUACAAACAAACAAUUAAGUACCAUACCAUAACCUAAAUUUCUAUCUUAAAAAUGGUUCCUUAUCUAAAUAUAAUAAUUAGUCAUUGAAAAAUCCAUAAAAUUUAAUAUACAAUCACCGACCUUAUGAUUGAUGUAAAAUGCAUUUUUUUUUCAAUUUUAUUUUGUCAUACACCCACCACUUGUUUUCUAUAUUAACAUAAAUUCCAAUUUUUUCAUUUAUUAAUAUUUUAAUGCGAUCACAAUACUCGUUCCAAGAUGUAUUAUAUAGGAUUAAUAUUAUGACAUAGUCUCAAGUCUGACCUAUCUCAACUUAGGUAGUUGAACGUACUUGACCAAAUUACCCUUUCUUAGCGCCAAAAUUCAGUUAGGUACAAUCAAUCGCAGCAGCAAGUACUUUGAAAUUUUGAAACGAAGCACACAUGUUUCGUUCUGGCGUGACUGAUCAGUUCCUCGCAGCUUCCUCUUCAACCUCAAAGCGUUGACGAAGGAAAAAUGAAAAGAGUCUUCACUGGUGAGAGCACAACUCUACAGGAAAGAAUUCACAUUUUCUUUGUUCUUUAUUAUUUCUUUCAACUGUCACUUUGCCUUCAUGAUUUUCAUUUUCUUCAUUCUCUUCGUGGCAGCCUCCCUUUUCUCCAAUUCCUAAUAAACGCCAAAAAUGCUUGGUUUAGUUCUCUUAUUGAUUGAUUUUGCUUUCUGGGUUUGUGAGAUAUGUUGAUUUUGCUUCAUGGGUUGUUUUUUCAAUUAGUUAUAUUUUGUGGGUUUUUGAAAUAUUUGGUCAUGCUUCAUCUGUGUAUUUGAUGAUCAUUUCGUUUUGCUUCAUGCUUCUUAAAUCAUUGAAAUGAUUGAUUAAGUUUCUUGUAUGCUUUGAUGGAUUGUUGAAGUAAUUGAUUUUGCUCCGUGGGUAUGUUGAACUAUUGGCUUUUAUUUAUUGGGGGUUUUUUAAUUAGUGUUUUAAUUGGUUUAUUGGUUUAUUGAAAUAGGGUUACUGGUUUUGAGUUGAUUUUGAGUAGGGUUUACAAAAUGGCUCAGCUUUUGAGGAAAAUUCUGCCUGUUGUGCCAUUGAGAUCAAAACCUUAUGAUGAUGAUGAGGAUGAUAAAAAUAACACUGAAUAUUCAUUUGCCGUUGAGUAUUCUGGCCCUCUGAUCAGUUCUGAUAUUCCCCUGGCAUCGCCAAUAGUUGUUGACCAAAUCCCCAUUGCUGUUACGGUUGCCUCUCCUUCCUUGUUAAGAGAUAGGUCGUUGCCAGUAAUCCAACCAACUGUAAAAAGUACUCCAGGAGGCAGAAGACGGUUGAAGGAGCCUGAAUUAAGUUCUGAACCUACAUUACGUAGUAAUUCAUUAACCAAUUCCGGAGCGUCCUUGACUGGUCCUAAUGUGUCCUGUGAAUCACAAAGUUUGGUAGAUAGCUCAGGUGAUGUUGGAUGUGCAACUGGUGAUUACUCCCAGCCCAAGUCAGUUAAUGGAGUUAGAAGUUCCAGUAAAUUCAGAAGUCCUGAUGCUCAAGAUAAUUCAUCUGACGUAAUAAGAAGUUCUGCUAAACUGAAUAGUCUUGAUCGUCAUGAUAAUUUGUGUGUAAUUCUAAAAUUAUCUGAUGGUAGUGAAGAAGGUGCAGAUGCAGGCCUGCAAAAUGGUAUAAAUCCUGCCAAUUUGGAUUUAACAGAUUCUGGUUUAAGUUCACAUGAACAUACAUCAAAGUUUUUUUCUUGCAAUGAGGGAUAUUUUGGUGAUGAAGAAACUCCUUCCAAUGUUAGAGGAUCAUCAGUUGUUAUUUCUGAUGAUCCUGAGACAAGUGAUAUAGUCCAUGAAGAAUCUGAUAACUCUGAAAGCGUCCAUCUGAGAGCAAAGGCUGAAAGAUAUGGGAAGAAAAGUUCAUGCUGUCAAUGCUUGCAGGAAUAUCAAUCUCUUGAAAUGGAGGUUUGCAUAGUUUGUGAUACAAUGUAUUGUUGUAACUGUGUGGUGAGAGCAAUGGGGUCAACACCUGAAGGAAGAAAAUGUGUUUCCUGUGUUGAUUCCAGGUUAGAUGUGUGCAUGCCCAUGUCAUCUAAUGGAAUAGGAAGUUCUGGUAAAUCAAAUAGCCUCAACUGUUACGAUAAUAUGCCUGCAAACAAUGAAUUGCCCGAUAAUAGGAACGAUGGCGCUAAUGCAGGAUUUCAUGAUUAUAUGAAUCCUGCUGACUCAGAGUCAACGGAGUCAGAUGUAAGUUCAUACAGUGUUUCAUCUGAGGUGUUUUCUUGCAAAGAGGAGGGUUUUAAUAACGAAGAAACUCCUGGCCAUGUUAGAAGACCAUCAGUCGUUAGUUUCCGUGACCCUGACCCAAGUGAUACAGUUUAUGAAGAAUCUGAUUAUUCUGAGGUUGAAAGCAUCCAUGAGAGGCCAAAGGCUGUAAGGCCAGGGAAGAAAGGUUCGUGCUAUCGAUGCUUGAAAGGAAAUCGGUUCACUGAGAAGGAUUUCUGUAUUGUUUGUGGUGCAAAAUAUUGUUCAAACUGUGUGCUGAGGGCAAUGGGAUCAAUGCCAGAAGGAAGAAAAUGUGUUACUUGCAUUGGUUUCAGCGUGGAUGAUUCUAAGAGACGAAACCUGGGGAAGUGUUCUCAGAUGCUCAAAAGAUUGCUGACUGAGACGGAAGUUAAACAAAUAAUGAGAUCUGAAAUAUUGUGCAAAGCAAAUCAGUUGCCACCAGAGCGUGUUUUUGUGAAUGGUGAACAUUUAUCUCAGAAAGAGCUCGUUAUACUGCUUAGCUGCCCAAACCCUCCAAAAAAGCUAAAUCCAGGAACCUAUUGGUAUGAUAAAGUGUUGGGUUUUUGGGGAGAGGUAAACAUCAGAAACUGCUGCUAUUAUUUAAUAUUCUUUUCUUGUUUAUUCUAAUUCCAUUGCACCAUGAUAGAAUUAAUAUUUGAAUUCCAUUGCACCAUGAACAGGAAGGACACCGGCCUUGCCAGAUUAUAAGCCCCCAGCUGAAUGUCGGGGGUCAGAUAAUGAAAAAUGCUAGCAACGGAAAUACAAAUGUCAUGAUCAAUAAUCGGGAGAUUACUAGAAGAGAGCUCUGGAUGCUUAAGGUCAUUUCAGUGGGCAAAUUUAUGUUCAUUUGAAAUUCAGUGUUUCUAAAAAUAAGAUCCAUACUGUUCUGUAUUUCUGUUAAAUGCUGCAGUUAGCAGGAGUGCAAUGUGAAGGACAACAUCACUUUUGGGUGAGCGCAGACGGUUCCUACCUGGAAGAGGGAAUGAGAGAUAUAAAGGGGCGUAUAUGGGACAAGGUAUGUCUGCAUAUGGAUGUGCAUUGGCUUUCUUAGUUAAACUAUUCCUUAAUUUCUGAUUUGUGAUUACCGUGUAUGUACUUUACAGAGUACAAUAAAACUAGUUUGUGCUUUGUUGUCUUUGCCAACCCCUCCUGAUUCUGAGAAUCCUUGUGGCAAUGAAGUGAAUGGCGUUAACCCGUGUGAGCAGCAAAGACUUAUUAAACUUUUUCUUCUUGGUGAACACAAAUCAGGCACGAGUACCAUAUAUAAACAGGUAGGAAUUAUUGGAACCUGUAAGAAACUUUGUCUAAUACACAUGCUAUUAUUAUUCAUAUAUUAUUAAUCUGACUGGUGAACAUUGGAUGGCUUAUAUUUAUCUUAUUAUGCAGCCAGCUUGUGUUGUCGUUUUGCUUCAUGUCUUGUCAUUUCUAGGACUUCAAGAUUUUAAAAGGAAAGAUGUUUUAGAGCAUGUUAGUUGAUUUUUAAAAUUUGUAUUCGAUGUAGUAUACUUAUUCACAAAGAUGUCAGAUUAUGUUAUUUGACAACUAGCUUAAGAUUUCAUUGUUUAACAACAUUCAUCGAAGGUACAAUAAAUUGUCUAAUUGCACUUUGGUACGAAGAGUGUUUUUUAUUGUGCAUAAAAAGCUACAUACAAGGUGGUCUCAUAUCAUCACACUGCCGUUGAUGCUUAAAAUAUAGUAGCGGAAAUCCUUUCUCCUUCUUGGUUACAUGCUGUUUUUUGUAACUUUAUGGGGACAUUAUGCCUUUCUAGAUCACGUUAAGUUUUUGUAUUUGUAAUAAAGCAAAGGCCAUAAGCCUUUGUUAAGGUCUUAAAACUGAAAUUUUGAUUCCAUGGUGAAUUGAACAUCAAGUUUUAUUCUUUGUUUCGGCUGUACUUAAAGACUUUUAUCAUUUUUUUAUUUUGUAUCCCUUUUGUACCUUUUUCUCUUUCUCCCUUUUUAGACAUUGGUGCAAAGGCACAUGAUGACAGAGAUGUUUGUUUCAGGCCAAACUUCUGUUCAAGGUUCCAUUCUCUGAAGAAGAGCGUCAAAAUAUUAAGUUCAUGAUCCAAAGUAAUCUGUACUUCUAUAUUGGUAUUUUGCUUGAGGGCCGUGAGCGAUUUGAAGAAGAAAGCUUGUUUGGGAAGGGAAAAAGACAGGUUAUUGACGAGCCAGGUCCUUCAGGUAACAUAGAGAUUAGAUUUACUUCUCUUUUCCAGUGCUUGUAUGAUUUGCUGUUUAUUGAAUGUUCCAUGAGAUCUUGUUUGGAGCAUGCAUAUGACGCAUAAAAAUGUUUGCCUUUGUUAUCUACUGUUUUGAGUUAUUUCUGGUAGAUAUUGAACAUAUGUAUAUCACUUUUUUCUGGGAAGUCUAGCUUGUCAAAAGUCAAGUUCUUUGUUAUUAUUUUACAUGCAUGGAGUGCAGUUUUACUUUCACUCGAUUUUUUGGACUUCUUAGUGCCUUUAGCGUUAAAAUUAUCAAUUGUGUUGGAUUGAAGUUCAUCACAUCAGCAAGUUGACCCUGAGGGUGGAAGGGACAACUAUGAUGUCCAGUAUUUUGUACAUUUAAUUAUUGAGCAUUUAAUAACUGUGGUCUCAUUGAAAUUUAAUGAUAUUUUUAUUCUGUACCUUCACUAUAAUCUUCUUGCAGACACAAUUCUGGCCUGUGGUUUUGAUUUCAGUAUCUGGUAGAACAUGAAAUUUGGAGAUAAAUCAUUGUCUGCAGCCAAUUAGAACUUUCUUGUGACUAACCUGUGCCAUCAGUAGUAAACCUCAAAUUUCUUUAAAAUGUUCUUUUAACAUGUUUAACUAUUUAAAAUCAUUGGAGUAAAGAGCAUAUUGAAAUAGCAUCACAUAGCUUGUGAACAUAUUUGAUUCUUCUUGGUGGUUGUAAAUUUCAUUUUUUUUUUAAGAAAAAUAAUCAUAUUUCUUUCUUUCCUUAUUUUUGAGGUUUUAUUUUUUUAUUUUUUUAUUUUUUCAGAGUAAAAAAUAUUCUGCAUGAAGAAAGUUACAUUUGUAAUUAGUUUAGCAAUUGGGAGGACUCUGAUUUUAUUCAGGUACAACACUAAUACAGGGCAGAUUGAUGAUAAAAUGAUGUAUUCCAUCGGUCCAAGACUGAAAGCUUUCUCUGGUUGGCUUCUCAAAGUCAUGGCAUCUGGUAAUUUGGAAGCCAUAUUCCCAGCCGCUACCCGUGAAUAUGCACCAUUUAUUGAGGAGUUGUGGAGGGAUGCAGGCUUCCAAGCCACAUACAACCGGAGAAAUGAAUUAGACAUGCUUCCCAGAAAAGCCACCUAUUUCCUAGAACGGGUUAGAUCACUCUCUAUUGUCCUUGUUUGCUGAGUAUUUCAUUAUUUGUAUUUGGUUCAGCUUCAGUAUAUAUCUUUUGUUUUUGGAUCCAUAGAGUCUUGAUUGUUUAUUUCAUUUGCCUCAUGAUUAUCCAGUGAUCUUGAAUUGCAUCCUCUAUUCCAUAGAUAUGUCAUAAUUGUCAAUGUACAUAUGACCUGUACUGUAAUUUAAAAAUUCCAAGUACAUAUUUAAUACUCUUGUAUUUUGGCUUCUUAUUAAUCAUGUGCUUUCUUAUCCCAUGUCAUUUCAGAAAGCACAUUUCAUAAAAGAUAUUUUUUGAAACCAAAAUGAAAGGCAUUCUGAAGUCACACCAUCAGUUCUCUUCUUGUAUUGUUUCUCGAAAGCUUGAACUAGGAAAGAUGAUUGUUUUGACUUGUAGUUCACUGUUUGCUAUUUUUUCAAUAUUAACAUUAGUUUCCCUCUCAGGCUGUUGAGAUUUCAAAGACAGGCUAUGAGCCCUCAGAUAUGGAUAUCUUGUAUGCUGAGGGAAUUACAUCAAGCAAUGGGCUUUCGUCCAUGGUAUUUUCAUUACCGGAGCAGACACAAGAAAACUCCAUAAGUGACUCUUCCAAUCAGAAUGAUCCCUUGCUCAGGUUACUGUCUAAUCUGUGCUUUAAAUUUACGUAUAAGCCAAAAAUGCAUUGCACUUUGCCAGAUUUUUGCUAUUGCUGUUGCUGUCAAUUGCCAUUGUGAGAUUUAGCUACCGAAGGAAAGGACUUCAUGGGUAGUCAUUCUGGCUUGCAGAUUGAAUUUCGGGUAGCUUAACUCAGUUUGAAUGGGGAUAUUGUCAUCAAUGAAUUGAGUCUGCAAUUCUGUUGGAACUGGAAGUUAUUAGCUAAGUUAGUGGCCCCACUUGGCUUGGCAAGACACAAAAAGAAUAAUCAGUUAAUUGCCUUUCAACUUCAAGAAUACUUUAAAUUUACCAGAAUUUCAUACUUUAGUUUUAGCUAUUGAUUUAUUUCUCUUCUUUGGCAUGAAAUGUUUUAGCAAUCAAAUAUGAAUAAUCUUUUACAGCUGCGAUGGAUCUUUGGCAUAAGUUUCUUGAAAGUGGGGAACGAUGUAUGAUUGAUUACAAAUUGUUCAUCUAACUUACCAAUUUUUGCUUUGCACUUGCAGCUAUCAACUCAUUAGAGUGCAUCCAAGAAGCCUCGGGGAGAACUGCAAGUGGCUAGAAAUGUUUGAAGAUGUUGAUAUGAUCCUCUUUUGUGUUUCUUUGACUGACUACGAUGAAUAUUUUGAAGAUAGCAAAGGAUUUCUCACCAACAAGAUGUUGGCUAGCAGGCAGCUCUUCCAAAACAUUGUCAUUCAUCCAACCUUCAAUCAAAAGAACUUCCUUCUGAUACUCAACAAGUAUGAUAUGUUAGGAGAAAAAAUCGAAGAAGUUCCUCUCUCUCGAUGUGAAUGGUUUGAAGACUUCAAUCCGGCGAUUGAAGUUUUUUACCACAGCACUGGUAGAAGAAAUAACAACGCACCACUGGCUCUAUAUGCCGCCCACUACAUUGCAGUGAAGUUCAAGAGGUUGUUCGAUUCUCUAACUGGUCAUAAGUUGUUUGUUUCAGUAGUUACUGCCUUGGAGCCUGAGACUGUACAUGAAGCUCUCAAAUAUGCAAAGGAAAUUCUGAAGUGGGACGAAGAGGAACCUUUCUACACUAACAUUGAGUCAACUGAUUAUGAAGAGUCAACUGAUGACGAAGCAAGCUCACCAUCGUGAUUUUUCUUCUCGGGUUGAAUUUUGCUCAUCCAUCCUCAGUUAUACAAAACAUUGGAAAGGAUUUUUUUUUUUCCAAAGAUAGAAGAGCAUCAGAAGAAAGUACCUAGGGUUAAGCACAUGCUUGUGUAUACUAAUCCAGAUUUGCAUAGAAAGUUAGGGAAAUUAAGAUUCUUUCAUAGAGCUGUAAAGAACUGUCGUUUUGCCAUUUCAAUUAAGAUUUAGCAAAUAAAAGAAGAAUAAUUACUUUGCACAAUGAGACACAUUGCUGACAAGCUUGCAUAAAUACAAACGGACAUGGAAUUCAUUACUUGCGGAUUACAUAUCUUGUCUACAAACAAACAUGAAAAAAAGACCAUUUUAACUACAUAAGGCUCCACAGAAAGAUUGAAUGUACAUCACCAAGGCACAAACCGGUCCAUAAGCAAACAGAUAGUAGUCUCUGAUAUUGUACUUUCAUCUUCAACCUCUUUGGUGCUCUCCUUUUUAUCUUCUUUCCCAUGUACUUGUUCUUUCUUAGCUCUCAACACAAACGGCUUCCUGCCUUUAACCUUCUCUCCCAGCUUCGCAAGCUCACCCAUGCAUAUCUCCACAACUGCCGACAUUUUCACUGCUAUAACCAAGAACCCACUUGGAAUUUUCAGCUGGCUCUCUCUUUCUUGUUGAUCUUUCUUUGUUGAAUAUGAAGUGAGAAGCAAUGUGGGGUGGGUUUAUAAAGAAGAGAAGGCGAGCAAAAGUCCACGUAGAAUUUGGCGGGUUCUGAAGAACCGCUGGUUUUGACUGCUGGGGAGAAAAAUCAAUGUGUGAUGCCCACAGAGAUGCCGUUUAAGAAACUUCUGUUCCAUUUAUCUUUCUUUGGAUUGGAUAUUCCCGUGUUUGCAAGAAAAUAUCCUUUUGCGUGACAGUUCUAUUGUGUGACUACUCACACAUUAAUUAUAAAUGCUCAGUUAGUUGGGAACGCCUAAGUUACAAUCAAUGUACCUUACGUUCUUUGUCUUUUUCUUUUUGGCAAAUAUCAUAUGAGCCCUCCUAAUUCUUUUUAUUUUCAAUUUUUACAGCUGUGGAUGUAUUUGUCUUCUUCCAUCCCUCCUAUCGAUUUUUUUAUUUUCUCUAAAGUUUUAUUUAUUUCUUUAAACAUUAUUAAAUGAUUAUCAAAUUCAUACAAAUCUAUAAAUUCAGAAUAAACUUCUGGUCCUAAAUUUAUUAAUCCUAGUCUUGAAUUGUAGGUUUAUUGCAUGUAAUUUAAUUAUAUAAUUAAAUUAAAGAGAAAUUAUAUAAAAAAUAUAAAAAAUAUACAUGACAGACUUCAAAAUUAACAUGCAAUAGCUUUCAGAAUUACCGUUAAAAUCAUUCCUAAGAAUUAAUUCUGAUUAAAGGGCAUUAUCAACAUAUACUCUGAUUAAUUCUGAUUAAUAGAUACCAUUUGAUAUUUUAAUUUACCAUUUUAAUUCAAUUAAUGUAGUUUCCAUAAAAUUCAAGGGUGCCAAUAGAUAUUUCACUUCUUGAAUGUAUGUUACGUUACACGUAACCUAGGUUUGGCCCAGUUUCAAAACUAACCUCCUGUCUUAACUUGUUGGAGUAUUGAUCAAACGGUGAGCUACUAAUAUCUUAUAUCUUUUAUUAAUCUAUAGUUCCAUCUUAAAACGUUUUAUUAUUAUUUUUUUAUUACAUGAGAUUAAUGUUCAAAAUAUAACUCAUAUUACAUGAGAUUAUAACUGAUAUUUAUAAAUCAGACUAUUACUGAGAUCAACUUACAUCAAUGCUAAUGGAGCUCCGUCCAGAUUUUAACCCUCACAAAUAUUCGAGGGAUGUCUACUCCUCACUCUUGGGUAAGAAAAUAGACUAUCUCCACUCAAUUUUUAAUUGAAGAAUGAAAUACCCCCACAAUACAUUUGUGGGGGUUCGAACUACUGCCCUCCAAGUUAGAGGGCAGCAGCCCUGACCACUCGGCCCAAGGCUGAGUGGCUUAAAACGUUUUAUUAUUUGAAUUAAACAACAAUUAAAAAAGUAUUAAAUUCAUUUUUUUAGUAAUAUUGAGGACACCAGCUCGAAUUAUUUUCAUUAGAUUGUUAACUAAUACUUGGUCUUAAUUAUAACAAUCAAAGGAUCUAAUAAGUUGAAAAAUAAUAACAAAAGUACGGUGAUAUGGUAUGAGCAAAACCAUACCGUAGAUUUUCCAUUUUGUUCAUUAGCAAGACGGCACGUGUUCCCACUUGAGGAGUUGGCCACGGACACGUAACGUUCACGUGGCCUAAUAGCUGCUUUGCGGAAAAGUCCCAUCAUUCUCAAUUAUUGAGUAAUUGAGAUUUUGGCCCACGGCCUUCUGGUGUCUGGAUGUGGAUCAUUCGUUUGAAUUUCUUGGCCCUUCAAUUAUUUGAAUCAAAUAUUCGGGAUUAAAAUUAUAUACCUAACCAAACUUUUAUUUAUUUAUUUUUUAAUUUGUUAUAUAAUUUAAGGAUAUAUUGCAAUAUCGGUCUAUAGGAAAUAUAAAUACAUAUGAAGGCUCAGAUUUAACUUCUAUUCAAUUUUUUUUUCUCGGGUUUCGACAAAAAUAAGAAAAAAUAAUUGUCGUCCUUAAUAUUAUUGAAGGUAUGAAUCCACUAUUACACUUUGGACAAAAAGUCUUAUAACUAUACUUAACCAAAUUUAUUGUGUAAAAAUCAAUUUAAUCUGUGAAGUGAAAAAUAUCAUUUUAAUUAUACAGUCCAAAUACAUAAAUCAAAAUUCCUAUCUUGACAAAAAUGUGAUGGCGACAAAAGUAAAGGGAAGUUCAAAGCCAAAUUGCAAAAAUAUCUCAAGAUUGCUUUUGAGGAUAUUUUUUGAAGGUAAUGGGGUUGUCGAUAUUUUGAGAUCUUAAAAGAUAUUAUAAUGUAUAUGACAAAAAUCACAUUUUAAAAAGUAGGAAUUAAUAUCCACAAUUUAGAAAACGUUAUUAUAUGUUUUUUUGUACACUCGUGCUUCACAUUUUAUUUGUUGGUGAGAAACAACUCAAGAUUUGGGGUUAACAUGGAGAAAGUUUGAUAAUGUGUUUGCUUUUUAUGAGGUAAAAGUUGACGUUUGUUGUAAAAAAUACAAGCAAAGGAAUGCUUUUUGUUUAAUUUCAUGGGAAGUGGAAUAUUAAGAUGAUUAAGAUUAAGUGUGACUUAAUAAUUCCUAGAUCCGAUAAUCAAAUGCACAAAACUGACUUGAUGCUGUAAACGAUUAUCACAGCCACCUUUAUUGAAAUCCAAUCACCAAUCUUAAUAGAAAUUCUCAAUUGCAUAUUUGCAAAACCCAAACCAGCCACAAAUUAACCAAACUAAGAACAACAUUUCACAAUUUAUGCACAUAAAAUCCAACCAUGAUGGAGAUGGACCCAACUAUACUCAUUGGGUUUUUUUUUUUUUUUUAAUAUUACGUUCAAAUUUUAUUAACAUUUUAAUUAGAAAUUUACUGGAAUCAGUAUUGAUCAAUACAAUGUCAAGAAGUACAACUAAAAAAUCUGCUUUGAAAUUUAGCCCAUUUUGCUUUUUAUUGUUCUAAUUCUUAUGUUCGAACUUCGAAUAGAGAAAUUUUCUCAUUUUAAAUAUUGUCUUGUUAUCUUUGAGAUUUUAUUUUGCAAAUAAUACAAAAACAAGGACCAGCAACACAAAGCAAAAAGCAGAAGUAGCUAGAGGUUCAAUUGAUAAAUUACAUUAAUAUUUGUUCGAUCAAGGGCUAAAACAGGUCAACAAGCAUGGAAACUGAAGCUUCAAAAUAGAGCACACAAGUGAAUGAGCCCUUAUUAUUUCUCCAAAUUAUUAAUAAUAUUGAACAACAAUAGUUCUUAAUAGUUAGAGUUACUUAAAAAUACUUUGACUCAGUGUAGGGACCUCUCAUGCAUUAAUUACAAAAUUAUCUAUCUCGUUAUGAACGAAAAUAACACAAUUUAAUAUUAUAUUUAUCCAUAAUAUAUUAUCAUAUAAAAUGUAAUAAAAUUAGACUCAUUAUUAUAAUAUUUAAUUAUAUAAUAAAAGAGUCUAUAAAAAAAAAUUAUACUGGUCAAAUACAUAAUAAUUAGAGUGAUUUAUCUCGUGUUAUGGUUUUAACUCUUAAACCGCACCAUUUGUUUUUUUGUCGCAAGCCUAUGAUCAUGAAUUUUUCCCACGGGUGCACGUCGACAAAUGUUUUCUUGUUUGGGGGCACUAACGUAAAAAUAAGCAUUAAUAUUGGGACUUAUUAUUUAUAAAGAUGGAAUGUUUAUAUGUAUAUGUUAUAAAGAUGGAAUAUUUAUAGGUUACGUCUAUAAAAUAAAAUAAGCAUUAAUGUAUCUGCUGCCCACGUCACCAACUGACUUAACAGAUUUUGGCGCCAUUUUCGAACUUUGUUUCUCGAAAUAUACAGAGAGAGAGAGAGAGGAACAUAUAGGAGUUCGAGUACAUCAAAUUAUGGGGUCUUGCUUGUGCGACAGGUCAGUUGCUUGAUUGCAAAAGCUUCUGCGUGCCUUUCGAGUAAGAUUCACAAUAUGGCAUAAUGGAUUUGUAUUAAUCAUGCGUGGCUUUACGUAAAGACAAAUAAGACGGUCGUCUAAGAUUUUAAAUUUUAAAAAUAUUUAAUUUUUUUAAUAUUAUUAAUAAUUCUUUAAUUAAUAAAGAUUUUUUAAAAAAAAUUGUGUGGUAAAAAAGUUUAAUAGACAUAUCUCUAAUUAAUAAUUAUCAUAUAAUUAGUUAUUAUUAUUUUUAUAUAAAAAUAUAUAAUUGGUUAUCUUAUUGUUAAAGAGAUAUAAUUAAUAAUAUUUUCUAACCAUUAAUUUAUUCAUUAUUAGUUUUUCCAAUAAAAAUAAGUAAAAUUUUUACAUUUUCAACUUCUUAAAAAAGCUCAAUUAUUCAACAUUAGAAUAUUUAACUCUUAGUAUUCCUUUUAGUUUCUAUUAAAAAAUUUAUAAUCUAGAAAAUCAUUGAUGAAAAAUUUCUUGUUCUCUUCUCUACAAUGAAGAUUAUUACAUGCAUUAGUUCAUUAAAAAAAAAAAAUUACUUGAAAUACAAAGUUCAUAUUCAUUAUCUAACCAUCAAUUCAUGAUCUCAACUUUCUAUGUGCUACCAUUCUAAAUAUUAUAUUUGAAAAUAUUAUUGUUCUCAUUUAUUCGUUUGUUUAUUUUUGUAUAAUUUCUAAUGGUAAAUUUUAGAUUUUGUUUUUGAAAAUUUUUAGAAUCUUCUUAAUUAUUUGUUGAAAUUCAAGAACUAAAAUUGAAAUAGAUUUUCAACUCUUUUUUGUUUUAUUGAGUAUUGAAGUUGUUUUAUUCAACUCUUAUAUUUUUUGUUUUCUCGUCAAUUUUGGAUUUUUUUUCUUAUUAAAAUAAUAGUAUGAAGUAGGAAUCUUCUCGAAACUGUAUGUAUUAUAUCAUAUUCCCAAAAAGAUUGGAAUACAUCUAACUCCAUAACAUUCUAAAGCUUUGAUACGUAAUUGCAUGAUACAAAUGUUGCUAAUCCGAAAGGGCCCCCAAUCUUUUUCCCAAAUACCAAAAAAAACCCCUAAAAUGAAUCCUCCCUUUUAACGUUUAACGAACUUUGGCGAUCUCGCGCGAAAAUCCCUCCAACGUGGCGACUCACCAUUAGCUAAUCUACGUCUCUGAUUAAAAUCCUAUUCUGAUUUUGAAUUCUUGCAAGAUUUUGAAGAAUUUUUGCAAUUGUGCAUUACUUAUUGGUAUUGUUUGAUUAGAAUUUAAUUUAGUUCAGGAGUCCUGUUCCUUUUUGAAAGCCGCAUGCCUGCAUCAGUAGAAGCAACGUGUUUCAUCAUCAUUGGUUCGAACACUAUAGCAAAGAACAAGGAUACAAACACUAUAAAUAGCCCGCCCCUUCAAGCUCUUUUCGCUCCACUUGAAAACAGAGAAAGCAGAGGAAACGCUUCACGAAAGCAACGAAAAACAAACACAGAGAGAAAGCAAGCACAAAAGCAAAACAAUGAAGAUGAAGAACAAAGCAUUAGCGAUCUUGCUCCUCUUUGCUUUACGUAAGUGCUUUCUUCUUUCUCUUUUGCUAAAGAAACCUUAAUUACCCUAUUUCGUUUUGUUUAUGCUCUGUUUUCUUUUGGCUGAUUUUUGUUAAAACCUGUUUUUUUUUUUAAAUCUUUUUCCUAUUAGAAUUCUCGUUGGGUUUAGCAGCAGCGGAUGAUACUACAACGAAGCUAGGGACGGUGAUUGGCAUUGAUCUGGGGACUACGUAUUCUUGCGUGGGUGUUUACAGAAACGAUCACGUAGAGAUUAUAGCGAACGACCAAGGCAACAGAAUCACCCCAUCAUGGGUUGCAUUCACUGAUACUGAACGUCUGAUCGGAGAAGCCGCAAAAAAUCAAGCGGCCCUCAACCCAGAGCGUACAAUCUUUGAUGUUAAGCGGCUCAUCGGAAGAAAGUAAGCAGUGAUUCUAUCUGUUUUUGUUUAUGGUAGUUUAUAUGUUUGGUGUGUGUUUGGAAGUGAUUUUGUGAUCGUGUUGUAAUAGAGUUAAAGCUUUUUUUUAAGUACUUUUCUAGAAAAGCGCUUUUAAACUCCCUUGUAUGCUUUUGAUGCUGUAGGUUUGAUGAUCCUGAGGUGCAAAGAGAUAUAAAGUUCUUGCCUUAUAAGGUUGUGAACAAAGAUGGCAAGCCUUAUAUUCAAGUGAAAGUGAAAGGAGAGACCAAGGUCUUUAGCCCUGAGGAGAUCAGUGCAAUGGUGCUUCAAAAGAUGAAGGAGACAGCCGAGGCAUUCUUGGGGAAGAAAAUUAAAGAUGCUGUCGUUACCGUUCCAGGUAUGUACACAUGUAUGAGGAUUUAACAUUCUUGUUCUGUUCCCUUUGCAUAUCUUUUAUAGUCUAAUGGGUGUUUUUUCUGUUGUUAAUUUUAGCUUAUUUCAAUGACGCGCAAAGGCAGGCAACGAAGGAUGCAGGGGUCAUAGCCGGGCUCAAUGUGGCUCGGAUAAUCAAUGAACCUACAGCCGCGGCUAUUGCCUAUGGUCUAGACAAGAAAGAGGGAGAGAAGAAUAUUUUGGUCUAUGAUCUUGGUGGUGGUACAUUUGACGUUAGUAUCUUGAAUAUUGACGAUGGUGUGUUUGAGGUUCGUGCCACACGCGGAGACACUCACUUGGGAGGAGAGGACUUCGAUCACAGAGUCAUGGACUAUUUCAUUAAGUUAAUUAAGAAAAAGUACAGCACAGAUAUAAGCAAUGAUAACAAGGCUCUUGGGAAGCUUCGAAGGGAAUGUGAGAGGACCAAGAGAGCUCUGAGCAGCCAGCAUCAAGUCAGAGUGGAGAUUGAGUCACUCUUUGACGGUGUUGAUUUCUCGGAGCCAUUGACAAGAGCAAGAUUCGAAGAGUUGAACUUGGACCUGUUCAAGAAGACAAUGGGGCCUGUGAAGAAGGCAUUGGAAGAUGCCCGGUUGAAGAAAACAGACAUUGAUGAGAUUGUACUUGUCGGAGGAAGUACUCGAAUCCCCAAGGUUCAGCAAUUGUUGAAGGACUUGUUUGAUGGGAAGGAGCCUAACAAGGGCGUCAAUCCAGAUGAAGCUGUUGCAUAUGGCGCAACAGUUCAAGGUGGGAUUCUUAGCGGCGAAGGGGGUAAAGGUAAAGGAUCCACUAUUUUUUUUUUUUUUAAUCUUCUCUUUUAUCAGGAUGCAAUUGAUUAAUUAGAAUAGCUAAGUAUACAAAGCUUUUUGUUUGCUGCAGACCUUCUAUUGCUGGAUGUGACUUCCUUGAGUCUUGGUAUUGAAACAGUGGGUGGUGUUAUGACCACGCUAAUUCCCCGGAACACUGGUAUCCCCACUAAGAAAUCUCAGGUUUUUUCCACUUACCAAGACCAGCAAAGCACAGUGACUAUUAAGGUAUAACAAGUGAUGUGCAUGAUUACAUACGUAGCUAAACUGAUGCUGCACAAUCAUUCUAUCUACUUGUGGACUAACGUGCACUUGAAAAUUAAAAUUAAAAAUAAAAUUCAGGUUUACGAAGGUGAAAGAAGCUUGACAAAGGAUUGUCACGAGCUUGGACGAUUCGAUCUAUCUGGCAUUCCACCUGCUCCAAGGUAAAUUACAUUUCAACAUAUGUAUUUGAUUUGUUGAAGAUUGUUCUGGAUACUUAAGCUGUUCUGAUUGUUGUUACAGGGGAGUUCCUCAAAUUCAGGUCACAUUUGAUGUUGAUGCCAAUGGCAUCCUACAUGUGACAGCUGAAGACAAGGCGGCGAAGAACAAACAAUCCAUCACCAUAACCAAUGACAAGGGGCGUUUCAGCGAGGAAGAGAUUCAAAGGAUGGUGAAGGAGGCUGAGGAAUACGCGGAGAAGGAUAAGAAUGCGAGGGAGAGGAUUGAUUCCAGGAACAAGUUGGAAAGUUACAUCUACAACAUGAGGAGCACCAUCAACGACAAUGAUAAUAAUAAGCUCGCUAACAAGAUCGAUUCUGAUGAUAAGGAGAAGAUCGAGAGCACACUGAUGGAAGCUCUUGAAUGGCUGGAUGACAAUCAGAAUGCCGGGAAGGAUGAUUUUGAUGAGAAGCUGAAGGAGGUGGAAGCUGUAUGCAAUCCCGUGAUCAAAGAGUUUUAUGAGAAGAGUGGGGGAAGUUCAUCAGCUGCUGAUUACUCAGAAGAUGAAGAACCAGAUGAUGAGUUGUAAAAAGAUUGAGAAUUCAAUUUUCUUUUGCUGCCAAUUUUUUUUUUUUUUUUUGGGUUUAUUUUUCAGUGUUGUCAACUAAUUUCCCAAAGAGACCACAAAUUUUGUUCUAAUUGUUACCAUCUAUUUUUCUUAAAUAUUAUUUAAUUUUUUAAAUCUAUUUGUGAGUGUAUUGGUUUCUUAUAUUUACAGUCACAUUACAACAUUGAACUAAAAUCUUAGUAGGAAUGCUGAUGCCUUUACAAAGAAACAAGAAACAGAAGCAAAAUUAAAUAAGCAAAAGCAGAAGUCGAUAGGACUAGCUAAUAAAUUACAGUGACUAAUGUUUAAUCUUCAGGCGCUAAAGAAGUCAAUAAGCAUGGAAACUGAAGCUUCAAAGUAAGGCAACACAAGUGAACGAGACCUCAUUUCUCGUAUAAAAGCAGAGACUUUCCCAACGUUAGGAAAGUUAUUGCUGUGUUCUUUAGCUUCAACGGCCUGGCUGAUGCUGCUGCUGCUGCUUGAUUUAACAGCAUUAAUAAUAUUGUCAUGACUGGAGCCAUUAUCAUUUCCCCAAAUGGUUUGACCCUUUUCCCGCAGCUUGGCUAACUCACCUGUCCAUAUAUCCACAAGUGCAGACAUUAUUGUUGCUGACUAAAUUUUGAAGAAGAUAUUUGGAAUCUAAGAUGUUUUGAGAUAUCAAGAUUUUGAUGGCUGAUGGGGGGGGUAUAUUAAGGAUCGAUCAGUGAUGGUUUUGUUUGAUUUUCAACGGCGUACACAUUAAAAUUUUGUUGUAUCUCUGUGGGCUAUAAGAUAAAGAUAAAUUAAAUAAUAUCAUUUUCAGUGGGUGGGUCCCUUUCUCUCUGUGAUAUGGCUCAAUACCGCUGCAAAGAUGGUGGUAUGCUUAGGCAAAGAAUGACGUCAGCCAAGACAAUUUGAAAGAACCCAACUCAAGGUACUGUUUUGUAAGGCUACCUUCUGGUAAUGAGAAACUGGUUGACACUAGAUGUGGAGCGACCAUCGGAACAGUGUCUAUCCCCAGCCGUGGAGCUAAGAAGCUUAGCAAGGCUGGUCAGAGCCGUGGGUUGGGUCAAAGACCGCCAUGAAUCCAGUCGAUCAUCCUCAUGGUGGACGUGAGGGGUGAAGCAAAAGUAGCGGUAGCCACGGAGGGUGUUCACUUACACCUUGGGGCAAGCCUUGUAAGUCUGGGUAUAAAACUGCAUCUUCCGAGGAGAAAAAGCAAUUAGCCGUCUGAUAUUGUUACAUUAUUUGUCAUCUUUGACGAUAGUUUUAAACCAUUUUUAACAGUUCAAUAGUGAAACUGAAGUGUAAUUUGGAUUGAACUUUUAUCAAGUUUAGUUUCUUCAAUUAACUAGGAUUCUUUUAGUUGGAAUUUGAAGAUUAAAAGAGAGAAAAUGAAGAAUCGUAGUUCAUCUCAUGUUAUUGAAUCUCACAUUACAGAAAUGAGCUCAACUCAGUAUUUAUAGUGGAGUCUAAAUAGUUCUAAAUACUUGCUGAGCACUCUCUUACAGCUAAGCAAUGUAACUGCAGAAUAACAAACUCUAAUCUAACUAAUUUCAAUACAAUUAACAAGUGCUGAAUUAUUAACUAAUUGCUUCAUAAUCCAGCUGCAUGGGAAUCUCUUCAUAACAGUUUUGCCAUUUGGAACUUUCCAACUUCUCACGUGCACCUUUCACUUUCAUUCCCAGAUUAGCUACUGAAUUUAUAGUUGGCUUAAUUCCAACUGGCACUCCAACGUGUGUUGAGUUGGUUCAGCUUCAUCAGCUAAUUUAACACCCCUUCUCAAACUUAAGUCUUUUGGAAAGACUUUAAGUUUGCUUCUGAAGAAGCUGAACUUAGGAUAUGUAAGAGGUUUAGUUAAUAUGUCAGCAACUUGGUCAUUGGUAGACACAAAAGCAAUUUCAACUUCUUUCCUCUCAACUUUGUCUCUCACAAAAUGAAUAUCUAUUUCAAUGUGUUUGGUCUUAGAAUGCAUUUAUGGAUUUGUAGUUAUAGCAGCUGCAUUUGUGCUAUCACUUAGCGGCAGUGGAGUACUCUAAAGUUUAAUGUUCAGUUCCUUAAGAAUUGAGUAUAUCCAUGUUAAUUCUGAACAAGCCAACGCCAUUGCUCUGUAUUUUGACUCUACUGAUGAUUUGGAAAUUAUGCUCUACUUCUUUGAACUCCAGCUGAUUAAAUUUUCACCCAAGUAUACACAGUAGUCACUAGUUGACCUUCUGUCAUUAAUAUCACUACCCCAAUCUACAUCAGUGUAUAUUACAAGAUCCAGAAAAUCAGAGCUCCUGAAAGUUAAGCCAUAGUCUAUAGUUUCCUUGAGAUACCUCAGUACUCGUUCGCAGGCAAGCCAGUGAGGUUGUAAAGGAUUAGCCAUGAAUUGACUUAACUUAUUCACUGCAUAUGCAAUUUCAGGCCUUGUUAAUACUGCAUACUGUAAUCCUCCAAUUGCUUUCCUGUAUUGAGUUGCAUCAGUAAAAUCUUCACCCAUGUUUUUGCUAAGCUUUUCUGUUGUGGCUGGAGGAGUAUCAGUUCAAUUACACUCUUUCAAAUCAAACUUGGCAAGAAGAUAUUUUAUAUACUUUGACUAAGACAACAUCAAAGUAUCAUCAUUUCUAAUAACUUCAAUACCAAGAAAGAAAUUGAGAUUCCCCAAGUCUUUAAGAGUAAAAGUACUGCUGAGGUUGCUGAUAAGUUGUUCUAUUUCAGCAUUACUAUUCCCAGUCACGAUUAUAUCAUCAACAUAAAUCAACAAUAUAAUCAUAUCACUCCCACUUCUUUUAAAAAAUAAAGAUGUGUCUGAUAUGGUUCUAGUGAAUUGUCAAGACUUAAGAAUUGACAUGAGCUUAUCAAAUCAUACUCUUGGUGCCUGCUUCAAUCCAUAGAGGGCCUUUUUCAGCUUACACACAUAAUUUGGAUGCUCUGAGUUCUCAAAGCCUUCUGGCUGAGGCAUGUAAACAGUUUCACUAAGCUCCCCAUUAAGAAAUGCAUUAUUGAUAUCUACUUGUCUCAGCUUCCAGUUGUUUAUGACAGCAAGACUUAGUAUAAUUCUUAUGGUUGAUGCUUUAACAACAGGACUGAAGGUUUCUUGAUAAUCAACCCUUUCUGUUUAUAAAACCCUUUAGCUACCAAACGAGCUUUGUAUUUGUUGAUUGAUCCAUCUGAGUUUUGUUUCACCCGAUAAAUCCAUUUGUUCCCACUAGCUUCAUGUUUUGUUCUGGAGGAACUAAACACCAAGUCUGAUUUCUCAUUAAGGCAUUGAACUCUUCCUGCAUUGCUUGUUUCCAUUUAUGAUUAUUCAAAGCUUCAGCUACACUUGAAGAUGUGUCAAGGGACAUGGACUUUUCAGUGUUGUAUAGUUUUGGUUUGAAUAUGCCAUUUUUGGCUCUAGUUAUCAUAGGAUGUGAAUGUCUGGGUUGAUAUAUAGGCUGAGAUGUUUCUGAUAUUUGAGUGUUUGGUUCAGAAUGAUUUGAAAAUGAGGUUUGGGGAGAUUCAUGUGUACUGAUUACAUUAUCAGGCAUUGAAUUUAUUUGAUCAAAGUUGUUGUCAAGGUUAUGUUCAUUAGAAGGAUCAUAUGAGUUAGUUGUGUCUUCUAAUGAAUUUGUACUUGCUGAUGUUGCCUCAUGAUUUUGGGUUUCAGAAGGAAAUGAUAUAGACAUAAACUUACAGAAUGUGUUUGCAGGUUCUGAUGUAUGAGUGGACUUUGAAACCAUGAAGUUUGGAUCAUUUUGGAAAGGGAAAAAAUUUUCAUUGAAGUUAACAUGUGCAGCAAUAUAAAUUCUGCCAUUUGGAUUCAAACACAUAUAACCCUUGUGCAAGUUACUCAAACCUAAAUGGACACAUUUUGAGGUAUGAAAAUCAAGCUUAUGACUAUUGUAUGGUCUCAAGAAAGGGUAGUACUCACAACCAAAGAUUUUGAUUUGAGAGUAACUUGGUUUCUUGGAAUAAAGGGCCUCAAAAGGUGUUUUGUGAUUCAAUAUAAGUGUACUGAUUCGGUUGAUAAGAUAGGUUGCAUUAUAGAAUGCUUCCCACUAAAACUUAAGAGGUAUAUCAGCUUGAGUAAGGAGUGUCAGUCCAGUUUCAACAAGGUGUCUAUAUUUUCUCUCAACCUUCCUAUUUUGAUGAUGUGUAUAAGGGCAGGAAUAUCUUAUAGCUAUCCCUUCAUUUCUGAGAUAAAGUUCAAAGGCUCUGUAUUCACCCCUCAUAUCACACUGAAUUGUUUUGAUUUUCAGCUCUAAGCUUUUCUCAAUUUGGUUUUUAAAGGUAAUGAAAGCUGACAGUGCUCGAGACUUAUGAGUUAACCCAUAAAUCCAAGUGUAAUUUGUUUUGUCAUCAAUAAAAGCUAUGUAGUAUUUGAACCCCUGAUUUGAGACUGUUGGUACAGGACCCCAAAGAUCACUAUGAAUAAUCUCAAGGGCAGUAGAUGAUUUUGAUUCACUAUUUUUAAAGGAUAAUCCAUGCAUCUUUCCAUAUUGACAAGCUUUGCAAAAAGACAACUAAGAGAUUUUAUUACCAAAUGCGAUAUUACAAGCUGACAAGGUUUUUCUAUCAGAAGCAUUUGGAUGAUCUAAUCUCAUAUGCCAAAGAUCAAGAGUUUUGUUGAUUCUUUGAUAUUUACAGCUUGUACAAUGUUCUUUAGAAACAACUGACAUCAUAGACUCUGGUUUAUUUAUCUUACAAACGGAAAGUAGAUUUGAAUAUGAAACUGAAGACAACAAAAUAGACUUGACUUGAGAGUGAUUUAGAGGCAAGUUCAGCAGCUUGUACAGUCCAUCUUUAGCCACACCUUUUAUGAGAACAAUCCACAUUCUCUUGUCCUUAACAACACAAUAUGUUUUGUUAAAUUCAAUACAUCUAUUGUUAUCAUUUAAUAGUUUUGAUAUGUUGAUUAGAUUUUUGGUUAUUUGUGGUACAUAGAGAAUGUGGUUGAGUUUAAUGUAUUUCUGGAUAUCAGGUUCAAGUGUGCCAAGCAAUGUUUAACCAACAGAAACAAUUUCAAGCUUAGAACCAUUACAUACUGCAAGGUGAUGGUUCCCUUUGUAUUAUGAGCUUAUGCUUAAGUUGUUGAGAUCAUUAGUGACAUGAUCUGUUGCUCUGCUGUCGAGAUACCAGCCUCCACUUUUGGUUUCUGCACCUUCAGCCACAUAAGCACUCCUUUUAUUUCCUGCAAAAUUAGGCAUAUAGUUUUUCUUAAACCUAUACCAGCAGUUUACAGCAAUAUGAUUCUUCCUGAAGCAUAUCUGACAAGGUCCUUUAGGUGCUUCUUCAUCAGUUGAAGCUUUUCCUUUCAUUUUCUCCUGAAUUGGAUUAAAGUUGCCACCACCAGAAUUAUUUCCAAAUUGUCUUCCACUCUGAUUAGCAACAUUUCCAGUGUUGUUGAAAUUUGAUUGCCAAUUUCUCCUCUGGUUUCCUCUGUAAUAAGCAAUAUUUGCCUGAUAGUCUAUGCUACUAACAGAGUUUUGAUAUUCAAUUCUAUUUUCUUGGCUUAACAACAUGCCAUAAACCUCUGAUGGAGUUAUGCUUUCCGAUUUGGCAUUGAUUGUAGCAACAAUCAAGUCAUACUCAGGUCCAAAACCAGCAAGUAAACACAAUACAAAGUCAUCAUUACUCAUAUGAUUACCAGCAGCUCUAAGAGAAUCCAGAUUCAUUUUCAUCUUAGUAUAAUAUUCAUGAACACUCAUUGAUCUCUUUCUAGUUGUCUGGAUCUGAAUCCUUAAGUGAAGAACUUUAGAACGAGACCUAAUACCAAACUGUCUAGAAAGUGUUUGCCAUACCUCUAGAGAUGAGCUUGCUCCAACAACAGCACUUAGCACUUCUUCACUCAGAGUUGAAAGUGGCUAGCUCAUGAGUUGUUGAUCAACUUUCCUCUAGAUCUGAAAUUGUGGAUUUGGCACAGUGACCACAGUUUGAUUGCUAUCAACAUUGACAAUCAUUCGACUUGGAGGAUUCUUGGUGUUGUCGAUUAGAUCUUCAAGCUCGUUUGCAUUGAUUGUGGCAAUAACUUGAGAUUGCCAUAGCAGAUAAUUGUUGUUUGUGAGCUUGAUCCGGGUAUUGAAAACUAGAGAAUUAACUGAUGAGUUGUUGAUUGAGUUUGUGAUUGGAUUUGCAGUUGAGCUUGAAGCUCGAGUGCUUGUGGCUUGAAAUUCAUUGCUAGCCAUUAUAACAACUCGCUCUGAUACUAAGUUGGAAUUUGAAGAUUAAAAUAGAGAAAAUGGAGAAUCGUAGUUCAUCUCAUGUUAUUGAAUCUCACACUACAGAAAUGAGCUCAGCUCAGUAUUUAUAGUGGAAUCUAGAUAGUUCUAAAUACUUGUUGAGCACUCUGUUACAGCUAAGCAAUGUAACUGCAGAAUAACAAACUCUAAUCUAACUAAUUUCAAUACAAUUAACAAGUGCUGAAUUAUUAACCAAUUGCUUCAUAAUCCAGUUGCAUGGGAAUCUCUUCAUAACAGUUUUGCCAUCUGAAACUUUCCAACUUCUCACGUGCACCUUUCACUUUCAUUCCCAGAUUAUCUACUGAAUUUACAGUUGGCUUGAUUCCAGCUGGUACUCCAACGUGUGUUGAGUUUGGUUCAGCUUCAUCAGCUAAUUUAACACUUUUAUGGUGUCAAACUAAUUUCACUCAUGUCAUUUAAAUUUAAGAUGUUGAAUUCAGUAUUCUGAUGCUUGCAACUUGUAAAAGGGAAAGAGAGAUGGUACGAAUUGAUUUUGUUUUAUUGGUGUCUUUUUUAUUCGUUCAAUUUGAUUUGCUGUGAUUUCUGUUACUCUCCACAUGUCACAUGAAAGAUCAAAACCUUCCGUGUGAUUUUUAUUGACCUGCAUCAAAAUAACUUUAAACCACCAUAACGUUUUUAUAAUAGCAGUAUGAGAUCUCCUUGAAGGAUUCAAAGUAUUUUAUUUGAUAGUAUUGGCUUGCAUUAAAUAGUUAUUCCCAUUUUAAGUAGCCAAAAAAUAUCAUAAUUAAGUUUCAUUGGUCUUGAUGAGUUUGGCGUUGUUUGGAAAUGUUUUUUAACACUACAAAAUUUACAAAUAAUCUGUUUGCUAAUAGGAAAUUGGAACAACAUUCAGAAUAAAUUGUUUACUUUACAUGUAAUAAUCGAAAUUAGAAUGAAUUGUAUUGCCAUUAAUGUAUUUAAUUUAUCUUAUUUUUUUUUAGAAUGAAUUGUUUUAAGUAAAUAAAAUGCCCCUUAAUUCUUCAAAAUACUGAAUUGGCUACAUUUUAUAAUGAUUAUUAUUUUUUUAGGAAAAUUAUUGAUAAUAAUAAUAAUAGUUAGUUUCUCUAUUUUCUUUUUCUUAUUAUUACUAUUUUCUUUCUCUUUUGUCCUUUUUUUUUCUCAUCCUCUUCUCUUAAUUCUUCGUUACUUCUUCUUCUCUUCUUUCUUUCAUUUUUAUAUUUUAUUUUUCUCUUCUUUAUCGUUUAUUCUUCUUCUCCUUCUAUUCUUCAUCUUUAAACUCUUUUUUUUCUUUUUCGCUUAUCCUUCUUCGUCUUCUUCCUCUUUGUUUCGUCUUUUUUUUUUUACUUUUGUUUUUUUUCGUCUUCUUUAUCGUUUCUUCUUCUUCUUCAUCUAUCCUUAAUCUUCAAAUCUUCCAACGUGUUGUGCAAUGAGAUCUAGAUUUUGGUUGCUGUAGUUUUCAAUUAUUUUUUGUAUUUUUUCUUUUUUAUUAUUUAAGAGGAUAUAGUUGUAAUAAUGCAAUUUAAGUUAGGGUAUUUCAGGGAGUUCUGGGAAUGGGAGUAUGAUUCCCAAUCCCCUGAGAAUCAGACUCCCAUUACUAAUUCCUAACUUGGUGCAGAGUCCACCAAAAUGAAUCGCAUUCCUUUCCUUAUUUCAGCAAGUAAACAUGAGUUUAAUUUUGGUCCUUAUUCCAAUUCUAAACAUGAGUUUAAUUUUGGUCCUUAUUCCAAUUAUCCGAUCUAAGAAGUAAACACAUCAUAAAAGUACCAUUAAGUACAAUAACAUUUUUGUGUUAUCGGCUUAGUGAAAUGGAUGAAAAUACUUUUAGGCAUGGCAAAAUUUCUUACGACUUAGUGCCUAUUUGGUAUGCCUUAUUUAAUGACCAUAAGUGCUUAUUUAAUCCUAUAAACUCUUAUAAAAAAUUUUGUUGUUGUUUAGUUAUUUUUCUAAUAGGGCUUAAAUAAGCUAUUUUGCCUCUGCUAACAAAAGCUCAAAUUUUGAAUUUUUGGGAGUAGAGGUUGAAAAGUUUUCUUUUAAAUAUUAAAAUAUCUAAAAUACCUUCUACUUAACAAUCUUAUUUUAUUGUUUUCAUAACAUAAUUUUAAAAAUCUAUUAAAGUAAUUUCAUGAAUUUUUAAUAAAAACUCUUAUUGACAACCAAACAACUAAAAUUUUAUUGGUAAAAAUUCUACUAAUAAAAGUUGUACUUAAAUAAGUUAUAUUUGAAAAGCUGUACCAAACGAAACCUUAGUCGGAUUGAUUUUUAUUUAGUCGGGUUAGUAAUGAGUCAACUCACUAAACCACAUUUUAUAAAGGGUGGUUAGAUUUGGGUUUACAUAUCAAAAUCUAUUUCACCCAAUUCAUUAACACUUAGGGCCCAUUUGGGAUUGCUUUUGAGAGGUUGAAAAUUAAUUUCGGAAAAUUAAGAGUUAAUUUUGGUAAUUGGUAAAAUUUUUAAAAACUCACUUUAGGCAAAAUGAACCAUCUUACAUUAGAUUUUGGAAAACAAAGAAGAAGUAAUUUUUCAAAAUAUGAUUUUAAGCAUUAAUUUUAUACUUAAUUCAAUUCCAUAUAUAUACUCAUAUAUAUUGUAAAAAUCUAAAAUAAACGUUAUUCAAUUAGGAAAUAAAAUUAUUAAAUUUAAAGGGAGUUUUACAAUUACCAAUUACACUGAGAUAUUAAAAAGAAAUUAUUUUAGUUAUCAAUUAUUACAUAUACACAAUAAAAAAAUUAUAUAUACAUGUUUAUAAAUGUAUAAAUUAUAUAUACAUGUUUAUAAAUGUAUAAAUAAGUAUGUCUACUCAAAAGUAAGAUCUAUUAAUUAAACACAUACAAUUGUUUUUAAAAUUUACAGCACUUUUAGAAAUAAAUUUUACUAAAAGUUUAAUUAAUUCUCUUCACAAUGCGAAUCAAAAUAGCCAAAUAGCCACCUUAUGCUAUUUUUCUUAACAAAUAUAAGUCCGAACAUGCCCACUAACCCAUCAAAAUAAUAAGAUCUGCCAUUAAGCCAUCUAAAUAAGGGGAGAUUGUCUUUGGCUAUUAAUAUAUCAAAAUAAUUAUGAAUGUUGAGAUUUUUCCCACCUGGGGUCGAACUAAGUGCAAUAGAUGGAGGUAACCUGCAUACACGGUAACAAAGAAGAAAAUGGUGAAAUGGGGUCGGAGGUGGUGGUCUCCGGCGUGCCCACUCCAAUACCUAAGUCAGUAGAGUGCUUUCAGAGUUGAAAUCUGAGUAAUUUUUGUGUGCUUCAGUGAUCAUACAUUUUUUUUGGCAAUUUUCCCUUAAAAAUACCUUAAUGGAGAAGAAAAUGAAGAAUGAUUUUCGGAGUGGGGGGUGAUUCCCCUAUUUUUUGGGGUAUUGUAGGCGUAGUGGCUUUUUAGCCAACUUCUUUAACCAUUUUUGCGGUAUUUCUGUAAUUCUUUCUUGGUGAUAAGCAUCAUCCCAACAUUUUACCCUUGUUGGUUUGCCGGUUUUGACCCAAUCACGGUUUAAAUCAAGGUUUCCAUAUUUCCCAUCUGAAGGGUUCCAGAGUUCCCACUUGACAAAUUUCAUCCUUGUCUUUGAGGGAUCUGAUUUUCCUCCUUGGAGAUUCUUACCCCUUUGAAGUGGUAUCAGUCAUCAAUUACCUUAUCAACAAUGAAGUUGGAAUUUUGCCUAAGAUAUUGCAUGAACUGAUAUCAAAUGUUUUCAAAGAAUUUAGUUUUCCCAAGGAAGUUGGUAACUCCCCCGAAAACCCAUUAUCAGAAAGGUAUCGAUCCUCAAGGUUGAUAAGGUUUCCAAGUGAAGGAGGAAUUUUUCCUGAUAAAGAGGAGAAUCUUAUAUCCAAGUAAGAUAAUGAUUCAAUAUUUUGUAUUUAAUCCAUAAUCUUACUUAAAAAUUUAGUAAAUGAAAGUCUCAAAUCUUCGAGGAGGCUUCCUUUCUGAGAUUUUGGCAAGUAUCCGAAGAUAUCUAUAUUGUACAUGAGAUCAAGAUAUCAAAGGUUGGGUAGUUGAAAAAUCUCUACAAAGAAUUCACCUUGCGAAGAACAUUCACUAAGAGAUAAGUAAAUCAAAGAAGAUAAAUUUGUCAAUGUAGGAGAAACUGCAUAAGAAGUAUCAACAUCAAUAAGGUAAAUUUCGAUCAAGUUGGUUAACUUCUUGGCUAGAUUUGAUAAACCCGACUUUUGGAGUUUGAAGGCAAAAUGAUUAUAUGAGAGAUCAAGGACUCCAAGCUGGAGAGCUUUAGCAACUCUGCUGAUAUUUGACUUGAAAAGAAUGGCCGAGAGAGAUCUAAAGAUGUUAGCUUGGAAAUUUUAAGAUUUGAGAUAGAAUUUCAAAGAAAUUGAAGUGGUUAUUGAAGAGGCUAAUUAUUUAAAGAUGGAGAAGGUGAAAGAGAGUGCUAGUAGAAUUGAUAGGACCAUAGAGGUAACUAUUAGUGAGAUAGAGCAUGAUCACAUGAUAAGUGUCCUAAUCACAUUUGAUGACAUCCCAUGAGCAACAAUCAAUAAUAUUUUCUUCCUCCUGGCUCUAGGAUUCAACCUUAGGAUAAGUGCAAGGAUUUGCAAAAGUAAACUUAUCAAUUAUAAGGCUUUGCUUGAAUUGCAAUAAGGCAGAACUCUCAUCAUUAUGGCACUAUGGGUGUAAAUGAGUAAGGUAAUAACUAAUAAGAUCAAACACUAAAAGCAAAACAAGUGCAUGCAUGCAAUUAAAGCAAGAUGUGAAUAACUCCAUAAUAUUUUUAAUAUAAUAAGUGUUGACGCUAAAAUCUAGUCGCGUCAGUGUGUGGUCUACCAACCAGAUUCUAGUGCCACCAUUUGAUUAUUAUUUUUUUUUGUAUGGAGGGAUGGUUUUUUGCCCUAACUUGGCGACCAUGAAUCCAAGCUUGGCGAGCAUCUACAAACAGGGUGUAUGAUUUUAUCUAAAAAAGAAUGAACCCAAAAAGAAAAAUGUAAGAAGAAACUCUCCUUGUGAAUAUGAAAAAAUAAGGAUAAAGAGGAAUCAAGAUUGAUAAGGAAGGAAGGAAGUUCAAAAUUUAAUCUCCAGAGAUAGUGUAGAGAAAGAGAGAUGGGAUGGAGUUUUUUUCUAAAGUCUCCAACUAUUGGCACUAUUGGGAGUUUUAUAGGGAUCUAACUUCUCUCGUAUGAAUUAUGGCAUUGUGGGCUUUGAGGAUAGAGUUCCACUCUCCCUCUUCCCCUUGGAUUAUGGAAUUAUGGGUUUUAAGGAUGGGGUUCAACACUAAAUUUUCAAAGAGGAUAGGGUGAGUAAAUUUGGCUAGGUGAAUCUCUAGUCUAACCGUCUCAACGCCAAAAUCUUGUUCGUUGAUUUUUCUCUGACUGUGCUAAAUGAUGAGACCAGCACAAUAAGACUUUGAAUAAGCCUUAUUAUGGUCGUCUUAUUUUAUCACCCAAACAAUAUGAUACAAAAGGAUUUGAGGAAUUUUCUUCAAAUUAAGGGCAACCUAAUUUCUUUUUUCCACUAAUGUGAGUUGGUAUAAAUUCAAAAUCUUUUGUUUUCCCUCAAAAAAUUUUACCAACUAAACUAAUUGACAUCCAUAUAUAGUUUGGGUGGGUUAGAAAACGAAUCACACGAGUGAAAGUGUCUUAAACCAAUCUUUUUCAAUAUUAAAAUACAUAUUUCCAAUGUUUUACGAUCGGAGCCAAGUGUGCCUACAUCAGUUAUAUUACAGCAUAAGCCAGUUCUUGAAAAAAAAAAAAUUAUUAUAGUGCAAUUGAAUACGUGUCAAUUUUGAUAAUUUUUUUAAAACAAUAAUAUCGAAUAUGAGUCUUCAUGCAACUCUGUGUAUUGUAUCAUAAUCAUGAAAAGUGGAUACCUAAACCCCACAAAAUUUAAACAUUUGGUACGUUAUUGUUUUUGGAGGAAAUACCCCGAAUCUUUCUCCCACAAUACCAAAAAGAUCCCUAAAACUUAUUUCUCCUUUUUUUUUUGUCCGUACUCUUUUAACAUUUAACGAACUUUAGUGAUCUCGCGGGAAAAUCGCUACAACAUGGCGAACCACAAUCGGUUACUAUGUGUUUGAGUAAAAUCGUAUUCAAAUUUUGAGUAGAUUUGAAAGAACUCAAGUUAAGUGCGUCUUAGGAUUUAAUACAGCAAAGGAAUCCUAGUCCUUGAAAGCUGCGGCCAGCAAGCAAAAGCGACGUGUUUUAUCAUCAUUGGUUACGACACUAUAGCAAAGAACAAGGAUACAAACACUAUAAGUAGCACCCCCCCACUUCAAGCUCUUUUCGCUCCACUUGAAAACAGAGAAAGCAGAGGAAACGCUACACGAAAGUAACGAAAAACAAACACAGAGAGAGAGAGCAAGCGCAAAAGCAAAACAAUGAAGAUGAAGAACAAAGCAUUAGCUAUUUUGCUCCUCUUUGCUUUACGUAAGUGCUUUCUUCUUUCUCUUUUGCUAAAGAAACCUUUAUCACCCUAUUUCGUUUUGUUUAUGCUCUGUUUUCUUUUGGCUGAAUUUUGCUAAAGCUUUUUUUUUUUUCCCGCUUUUUCCUUUUAGAAUUCUCGUUGGGUUUAGCUGCAGCGGAUGAUACUACAACGAAGCUAGGGACAGUGAUUGGCAUUGAUCUGGGGACUACGUAUUCUUGUGUGGGUGUUUACAGAAAUGAUCACGUGGAGAUUAUAGCGAACGACCAAGGCAACAGAAUCACCCCAUCAUGGGUUGCAUUCACUGAUACUGAACGUCUGAUCGGAGAAGCCGCAAAAAAUCAAGCGGCCUUCAACCCAGAGCGUACAAUCUUUGAUGUCAAGCGCCUCAUCGGAAGAAAGUAAGACAGUCACUCUCUCUGUUUUUGUUUAUGAUAGUUUAUAGUUUGGUCUGUUAUUGGAAGUGAUUUUGUGAUCGUGUUGUAAUAGAUUUAAAGCUUUUUUAAGUACUUUUCUAGAAAAGCGCUUUUAAACCCCCUUGCUUGCUUUUGAUGCUGUAGGUUUGAUGAUCCUGAGGUGCAAAGAGAUAUAAAAUUCUUGCCUUAUAAGGUUGUGAACAAAGACGGCAAGCCUUAUAUUCAAGUCAAAGUGAAAGGAGAGACCAAGGUGUUUAGCCCCGAGGAGAUCAGUGCUAUGGUGCUUCAAAAGAUGAAGGAGACAGCUGAGGCAUUCUUGGGGAAGAAAAUCAAAGACGCUGUCGUUACCGUUCCAGGUACAUAUACAUAGUGAAUUUCUGUAUAGAUGAUCUAACAUUCUUGUUCUGUUCCCUUUGCAUAUCUUUUAAUAGUCUAAUGGGUGUUUUUUUUGGUUGUUGAUUUUAGCUUAUUUCAAUGACGCGCAAAGGCAGGCAACGAAGGAUGCAGGGGUCAUAGCCGGGCUCAAUGUGGCUCGGAUAAUCAAUGAGCCCACAGCCGCGGCUAUUGCCUAUGGUCUAGACAAGAAAGAUGGAGAGAAGAACAUUUUGGUCUAUGAUCUUGGUGGUGGUACAUUUGACGUUAGUAUCUUGAAUAUUGACGAUGGUGUGUUUGAGGUUCGUGCCACUCGCGGAGACACUCACUUGGGAGGAGAGGACUUCGAUCACAGAGUCAUGGACUAUUUCAUUAAGUUAAUUAAGAAAAAGUACAGCAGAGAUAUAAGCAAUGAUAACAAGGCUCUUGGGAAGCUUCGAAGGGAAUGUGAGAGGGCCAAGAGAGCUCUGAGCAGCCAGCAUCAAGUCAGAGUGGAGAUUGAGUCACUCUUUGACGGUGUUGAUUUCUCGGAGCCAUUAACAAGAGCAAGAUUCGAAGAGUUGAACUUGGACCUGUUCAAGAAGACAAUGGGGCCUGUGAAGAAGGCAUUGGAAGAUGCCCGGUUGAAGAAAACUGACAUUGAUGAGAUUGUACUUGUCGGAGGAAGUACUCGAAUCCCCAAGGUUCAGCAAUUGUUGAAGGACUUGUUUGAUGGGAAGGAGCCUAACAAGGGCGUCAAUCCAGAUGAAGCUGUUGCAUAUGGCGCAACAGUUCAAGGUGGGAUUCUUAGCGGCGAAGGGGGUAAAGGUAAAGGAUCCACUAUUUUUUUUUUUUUUAAUCUUCUCUUUUAUCAGGAUGCAAUUGAUUAAUUAGAAUAGCUAAGUAUACAAAGCUUUUUGUUUGCUGCAGACCUUCUAUUGCUGGAUGUGACUUCCUUGAGUCUUGGUAUUGAAACUGUGGGUGGUGUUAUGACCACGCUAAUUCCCCGGAACACUGGUAUCCCCACUAAGAAAUCUCAGGUUUUUUCCACUUACCAAGACCAGCAAAGCACAGUGACUAUUAAGGUAUAACAAGUGAUAUGCGUGAUUGCAUACGCGGCUAAACUGAUGCUGCACAUUCAUUCUUUCUACUUUUGAACUAACAUGUACUUGAAAAUUGAAAUUAAAAUUCAGGUGUACGAAGGUGAAAGAAGCUUGACAAAGGAUUGUCACGAGCUUGGACGAUUCGAUCUAUCUGGCAUUCCACCUGCUCCAAGGUAAAUUACAUUUCAAUAUAUGCAUUAGAUUUGUUGAAGAUUGUUCUGGAUACUUAACGUGCUCUAAAUGUCCUACAGGGGAGUUCCUCAAAUUCAGGUCACAUUCGAUGUUGAUGCCAAUGGUAUCCUACAUGUGACAGCUGAAGACAAGGCAGCGAAGAACAAACAAUCCAUCACCAUAACCAAUGACAAGGGGCGUUUCAGCGAGGAAGAGAUUCAAAGGAUGGUGAAGGAGGCUGAGGAAUACGCGGAGGAGGAUAAGAAUGCGAGGGAGAGGAUUGAUUCCAGGAACAAGUUAGAAAGUUAUAUCUACAACAUGAGGAGCACCAUCAACGAGAAAGAUAGUAAUAAGCUGGCUGACAAGAUCGAUUCUGAUGAUAAGGAGAAGAUCGAGAGCACACUGAAGGAAGCUCUUGAAUGGCUGGAUGACAAUCAGAAUGCCGGGAAGGAUGCUUUUGAUGAGAAGCUGAAGGAGGUGGAAGCUGUAUGCAAUCCCGUGAUCAAAGAGGUUUAUGAGAAGAGGGGGGAAAGUUCAUCAGCUGCUGAUUACUCGGAAGAUGAGGAACCAGAUGAUGAUUUGUAAAAAGCUUGAGAAUUCAAUUUUCUUUUGUUGCCUUUUUUUUUUUUUUGUGUUUAUUUUGCAGUGUUGUCGACUAAUUUCCCAAAGACAACAUAAAUGUUAUUCUGAUAGUUACCACCAUCAAUUUUUCUUAAAUGACAUUUAAUUUUUUAAAUCAAUUUUGAGAGAGUAUUGGUUUCUUAUAAUUACAAUCAAAUAACAACACUGAACUGAAUAUCAUUAGGAAUUCUGAUGCCUUUUACAAAGAAACAAGAAACAGAAGCACGUUAAAUAAGCAAAAGCAGAAGUAGAUAGAGAGUAGCUAAUAAUUUACAGUAACUAAUGUUUAAUCUUCAAGCGCUAAAGAAGUCAAUAAGCAUGGAAACUGAAGCUUCAGAGUAAGGCAACACAAGCGAACGAGAUUUCAUUUCUCGUAUAAAAGCAGAGACUUCCCCAGCGUUAGGAAAGUUAUUGCUGUGUUCUUUAGCUUCAACGGCCUGGCUGCUGCUGGUGCUGCUGGUGCUGCUGCUACUGCUGCUGCUACUGCUGCUUGUUCCCCAAAUGGUUAGGCCCUUUUCACGCAGCUUGGCCAACUCACUUGUCCAUAUAUCCACAAGUGCAGACAUUGUCGUUGCUAAUUAAACUUUUGAAGAAGAUAUUUGGAAUGUAAGAUGUUUCGAGAUAUCAAGAUCUUGAUGGCUGACUGGGGAGGGGUUCGGGUUUAUAAAGGAUGAAUCAUUGAUGGUUUUGUUUAAUUUUCAACGGCGCGCACAUGUAAAUUUUGUUGCAUCUCUCUGUGGGCUAUGAGAUGAAGUAAACAAUAUAAUUUUCAAUGGGUCCCUCUCUCUCUGUGGUACGGCUCAAUACCGCUGCAAUGAUAUAGUGGUAUGCUUAGCCAAAGAAUGACUUCCGAUUAAAGUAAAUAAAAAAAUUUAAAAAAGAGGAAAGAUAAUUUUACUUUUAAGUAUAUAUAUAUAUAUAUAGAGAGAGAGAGAGAGAAGGAAAUUAAAUAAGAGGGAUCAAUAUAUAUUUGAUGUUUGUGAUUAAUAUGCUGGUAUUAACACAAAUAAUUCUGUAAAUCAAGAUUUUGAUGGCCGAAUGGGGUUUAUAAAUGACGUGAUUGAUUGUUGGUUUUAGUUUUGAUUUUCUACGGCGCACACAUUUUGUUGUAUAUAGCGAUCAAGUUCAUAUGUCUCUCCUGUGGGCUUUUAGCCUUCAAUAUCGAGUAAAUUAAAUAUAUCAUUUUCGGUGGGGACAUGGACAUGCCCCAAUACCGCAGCAAGGUUAGUGGCAUGUGUCAAUUUUAAAAUUGUAUAACAAUUUCAUGAUAAUAAUCAAAGUGGCUAAGAUCAGUGUCUAUUGCUGUCUUAAAUCCCAAGUGGGUUACAAAACUCACUCUAUUUUUCUUUUAUUAAACAUAAUUGUUAAUGAAAAAAAUUUUAGAUCGUGGGCGCCCAAAAUCAAUUUCAAGAUUUACCUCAAGAGUGAGACUUUUGACAACUUUUGAAAUCUUUAUAAAACUCUUUUCAUAAAGAUCUUGAUUAGUAUUGAGGUGUUGUAUUUUUUAAAAUAUAGUUUUUUAGAAAAAAAAAAUUGUAACUGUAAAAUAUAAGUUAAUAUUGUGUCCUGAAUAUGACUUUUAAAUAAAAAUUUUGACAAAAAUAAUAAAGAUAUUAUAAUUUUUUCAUCAUACAAGUAGCAUAUUAAAUUAACUUAUUUUUUUAAGCCAUAAUAAUUAGUGUUUAUAAGGUAUUUCAAUAUUGUAAUUUUUAAAUUAUAACUACUCAGUCUUUAAACCAAACAAGGCCUAAAUGCAUUCCAUUAACGUUACACAAGUAAUUCACCCCUAAACAUUCUUAAUUUUAUUCUACACAUAUCCUUCAUUCAUAUAUCAACGCGUGAAAAUGAUUACGAUUCUUUCUUCUUCUGCAUAAUAUAUUCAUAAAUAUCAUCAAUAACUUAUCCUAUUCAAACUAAUGAAUAAAAUAUUAGAUAUAUUUGAACCGAUCAAAAUCAUGAUGCCCUCCAUUCCUCGCAUAAUCUGAUUUUUGGCAUCUCAUCUACCUAAGGCCUUUUGUUUUCUUCCCCUUUUUCUUUGAUCAACAAAAAUCUGAAAAAAGAAGAGACGGGUAUUCAUUGUUAUGGAAUGCAAUUUUCAAGGGUGAAAACGUCAUUAUCUAGAGCCGGGAUUUUAUAAGGAUUCUAGAGGUGUGCGAAUAGCACAACUCUUUCUUAAAAUGAAUUAGGCCCAAUCGUUUCUCUCAACCAAAGAUAAGGCCUGGAAACCUUAUCCUUGACAAUGCCAUUACAAAAUUCACCAAUUACUGGAUUCUGCUAGUAAUGCCCCGACUUGUUUUCUAUUGAUCAUUCAGUGCACAAAUAAUUGAACGCAUGUCCAAUAUGUUGGUGGCCAAUGUUGAAAUGAGGGCCGACGAACUUUUUAGACCAUUUUUUUAAUUUAUUUUUUUAUUAAAGACCCCAAAUGUGCGGAGUUGACGGGACUCUCUUACAUGUGGAUUAAUAAAAUAUAUGAGAAACAUCCGGAGGAGGUCAAGAACCGAAACAUCCAAGUUAAAGACAAUGAAACAAUCAAUAAGAAAAAAAUUAUUAAAAAAACAACAGCACCAAAAACACCGAAAAAUCAUAUCAACAUAAUUUUAAAGAUACAACAUAUAGUGUUUAUUAAACACUUUACCCAUGUAGCUUAAAAAGAUACAGCUGUUCAACUUCAAUCCCAAACACACCUAAAGUCUAGUAAGAGAACCACCCCGGAGAUAAGAAAAAACUAAUGGAGAGACCGCCUCUUCUAAUACUUGUGACCAGUGACUAAAGUAAUUAUUUAUUUAUUUUAUUAGUUACUUAGCACCCCAAUUCUUACUCCACCCUCAUAUUAAACGUAUCUAUUUGGAUUGAUAGUUUGAGACCCUCAACUUCUUACUUUCAUUUUAAGAGAUCAUCAACUUGGCUAUACAUGCUUUUCAUUGGGAUAACUACUUCUGUUUGUUAUUAUUAUUAUUAUAUUCGUGAACAUUUCUCUUAUGUGCUCUAUAAUCCCAUUUUAUUUCAUAUGACACGUGUUAAUUAAAUUUUCUCCUUAGGUAGAGUUUAGAUUUUGCUUUAGUUAUUGUUUUGAAUUAAAUCAUUAAUGAUAAAAAUCUUAUGAUUCAAUCGGAAAAAAAAAAAAAAAAAAACCUCUCUCUUCACAUAUUUGUGAACUUAUAAAAAUCUCUUUUAUCAUGCUAUUGCUUUUAAUGUCCAAUGCACAUGCAAUCUUGGUAUCAUGCACGCAAAUAAAAUUUUCUAGCUUAAAAUGGAUUCACAUCAAUGACAAAAAAUUAACUCUAUGAUUUAAUUUCCCCAUUACCAUGAUCUUUAUCUGCGCCAUUAUUAUUGAUUUUCGCCCUUUCUAUCAGAUUAUUAUUAAUUAACAAAUUCUUUAAAAAUUUGGAUGAACAUUUUUCUCCGGGGCAAAAAUUUGUUCACUAGUAAAUGGUAAAAUUUGAUCCAAUUCAUGGUUUGGCUUGCUUUUGGUUUGAUGAUUUGUUAUGUGAUUUCAAGUGUCUUAAUUUUUUUUUCCUCCAUUGAAACUCGAUUGUAGGAACCAGAUGAAAUCAAUGAUAUCGAAUUGGCCACACAGCUUUCUCUUCUUGAUCUCAAUGUAAAGGGAAAAAAGCAUGGUGAAGUUGGUAAAUGAUCACUAUUUUCUUUUUGCUAAUUAAUAUUUUUAUUAGCUAAUGAAGAUAUCAGCUGCUAAUUAAUUAAUCAUUAUUAUAUAUACAUGCAGUUGCAGAUGAAGACGAAGAACUUGCUAGAGCUAUCAAAGAAAGCCUCAGAUCUUCUUCAAAUUCAAAACAAAUUAGGUGACUUAUCGGAAAAUCAAAUUAAAAUUUUUGAUAAAUUGAAGAAAUUUUCACAAUUAAUUGUUAACCAAAAGCUAAUUUACAUGAAAUUUUUGAAUAUAUGACUUCACAUGAAUUGAUUAUUCCAGGUCUUGGUCCACGUCUAUAGGAAGCUCAAGUACAAUAGAUUGUGAUGUUUGCAAUAAGGCGGUAAGCAUAUGUAUAACAUGAUAAAUUGAGGGGAAAAAUGGGGUCUGAUUACGGUGCAAUUGUGGUAUCGUAUUAUAAUUGCAUCCAUAUAUUGGAUGCACUUAAAUGAGUGGGGUCUACUGACAUCCAACGGCUGGAUACAACUGUGGCACGGUACCACAGUUGCACCACAAAUUUUCCUGAAAAAAUGAUACAAAGACUCUCAAAUUUUAAAAACAAAUAUAUAUAAAUUCUCUCAAAUUUGGUCCAUAAUUGUUGACACUACACAUGAUGCUUGUCCACUCUCAUUUUGCAAAACCAAUCACGCCAUCGGGUAAAUUUUGAAAAAUAUGUUUUGUUGUAUAUCCCAAACAAAUGAAAAGGACUAAACAAUGAGCUGUUUAUGUCCAUUUCUGGAAUAUCAGAAAUCUAAUUUCACAUUUGGGCAAGUGUCAUUUUCCUAAAAUUAAUGAGUUUUGGUUCAAAUUUCAUUAAUGCUAAAUAUUAUUACAUUCUCAAACAGUUAUCACCAGGCAUGAAUUAUUGUAACCCUGAAUUUUGGAAUCAGCGAUUUUGCUACAACCAUUUCAGUGAUGGGACUCCAGUCUGCUGUGGAUGCGUUAGAUUGAAGGUAUAUAUAUAAAAGAAAAAAAAAUAUGUAUAUGUCUAUUCUUCAAAAAUUAAAACAAAUUAAAAAUGUCUUUAUUUUUUGGCUUCAUAUUGAAAAAAAAUAAAAAAAAAUCAUACAAUAAAAUGAAUUCUUUACUUUGUGUAGCGAUCGGACUUGGAAUAUUUUGAUCUCGGCGAUGGUCGAACAAUAUGUCGUGAUUGUUAUUCUACAUCGAUCAAAUGCACACAACAAAUUGAACCUCUUCUAAAUAAUGUGCUGCAAUUUUUCAAAGAAAAAGGCAUGGAAAUUCAGGAGCAAGUUCCCGUUUUCUUGGUCACAAGAAUGGAGAUGAGUAGACAUACAAGUCAAGGAACAAGCCUUGGGGUAACUUUUUCAAUAUUUAUAUUAAUGAUUUUAUUUAUUUAUUUCUUUAAUUUUGCGUGGAAAGAAUUUAAACUCGUUAUAUUACUUCAAUUAUGCCAAAAUAACAAACUACUAUAAGAAUUAUCGAGGUGUAAUACUUUUAUAUGUUGACUAUAAAAAUAUUCUUUUUUUUUAUUAUUUUGGUUUUCACUACAUAUAAGUGAUUUAUGAUUAAUACCGGAACCAAUACCAUUCUUUCUUGUCUUUUUUAGCAUCCUAUUGGAUUCCAUUCCAAAUUAAAGUAUCUAUUUAAACUGAAUUAUAUAUGUAUUUUGACCUCUUACUUUCAUUACAAGAGAUCAAAUUGAAUUAGUGUUUAGAGAAUUGGGCUAAUACUUAAAUAAAUUUGUAUAUAUUUUGCACCAAAUGAAGGAAACAUUUUCGAAAUUUACAUUUCAUGUGUGUGCUUUUGAUCUAUCAUCAUUUAAAUGUUACUUAAACUAUUCCCUACUACUUGUGCAAACAGAAUGUUCAUCCAAAUGCCACUAUAUUUGGGUUAACUCAUGUGCUUCCAUAUGGCAGUAUCGAUCUCCGAAGUGUAAGUAACUUUAUCAAUUUAUUUUUUUCUUCAAUUUGUCGAAUAUGAUGUACAUAAGUAGAUGUCAUCUUAUUCAAACGUUUGUAAACGAACUUGAAGUAAAACCAUAACAAAACAACAUCAUUUUGUAACAAUCAAAUGAUGCUUUGAAUGGAGGACAACAGUUCGAACCCCCACAAAUGCAUUGUGAGAAUAUUUCCUUUCUUAAUUAAAAUUGAGUGAAUGUAGUCUUUUUUCUUAUCCAAAAGUGAGGAGUAGACAUCUCUCGAAUAUUUGUGAGGGUUAAAAUCUGGGCAGAGCUCCAUUAGUAUUGAUGUAAGUUGGUCACAGUAAUAGUCUGAUUUGUAAAUAUCAAUUACAGUCUCAUGUAAUAUAAGUUGUAGUUUGAGCAAUAGUCUCAUGUAAUAAAAAAAAUGAUACUUUGGAUUAAUUAAAGUUCAAGUUCACAUUUUGUGUGGCGCACACACACACAGAGAUAUUAAAAUAUAAUUUUUUUUGUUUGUUUUAAUUUUAAUUCUCAUUUUAUAAGAUGUGAACAAUUCUUCUUAUAAGAUAACCCGCUAGUCUGCUAAUAUAUAUACAUGUAUAGGUCACAAGCUCUUCACUUAGGGGAAGACAAGUUAUUUUGGAGGAAAAAGAUUAUGAAGUAACUGGAUGCAAAGCGACAAUAAUGGUUCUAUAUGGUUUGCCCAUGUACGUACUUACUAUAUACCCAUCUUAAAUAUACAAAUUUAACCUCAAUUAAAGUUUUUUUCUUUUAAGUAUAUAAUUGUCAUCAUUACAGACAGUUAAUUAAUUGAGCGUUUGUAAAUUAUAUUAAUUUUUGAGAAUCAACUUACAGGUGUAUGACUGGUGGGGUUUUAGCUCAUGAAAUGAUGCAUGCAUGGCUUGGAAUUCAAGGUCAGCCUUAAAAAAAUUAUUAUUAUUAUUAUUUAUUAGUUUAGUAGCAACUAAAUUCGAUUCCUUUUGAUUAUGUGAGCAGGAUUCAAAUCUUGGAUGUCUUAUUUUUUGUAUAUAAGAUUUUACCAACUAAAUUAGUUGUUACACGCUUAUUUAAAUUAAUAUUGUAGGGAUUCGGCGAUUGGAGCCAAAAAUUGCGGAAGGAAUAUGCCAAGUAAUGGGGCAUGAAUGGUUGGACUGGUUUGAAUCUAAAGACCCUCAGGGCUCAUACAGCUCUAUUGAAGAGGCUCAAUAUGCUAGGAACUUGAAGAAAGCUUACAAGCACCUUGUAGAAGUCGAUUCUUCUCGUGCUUAUGGUGAUGGAUUCAGGGAUGCUAAGCACUCUGUUGCUAAAUAUGGCCUUUGUAAUGUUAUUAAUCAUAUAAGAAGAUAUAGAACUCUUCCUAAUUAAUUAAUUUGAACCAUACAAGAAUAAUUGAUAUGUUUAUUCCCCUAUUAUGUAUACAAUACAAUGUGAAUUGAUAGGAGUUCAAAAGUAAAUUAUGUAAUAAAUUAAUAAUGCAAUAUUGAUAUCAUAAAGCACAUAAGCCGAACUCAUAUUCAAAAGAUUAAUUCAUAUGAGAUUUUUUUUUUUCUAUCACCCAUUGUCACAUGAAAACAAAUUUUUUUUUAACCGAUCUUUAUAAGUGAAAGUAUAGUGUGGACUAUUCAUACAUAACUAAUACCAUAUAAAAAUCCAUAAACCUAAUUUAUGCUAUAUUAUUAGCCCAUAAACAUAAAGGCAUAAAAUGCUAUUAAACUAAUAUGAGAUAUUUUCUCUCUUUUAAAUAUUGCUUUCAUAUUAAAAAGAAUGUUACAUAAAUUAUUCCUGUUAAGUAGAAUGAGAUCUUAGAAUAACCUUAUAUCAUGGUAUUAAAAAUUAGGGAAAGGGAAAAAGAGAAAAAAAAGAAAAAAAAGAAAGAAAGAAAAAGGUUAUCAAUGGGGUUAAUUUUUUUGUGAUGGAAAUGAGAAAAUCUAAAAGAGUAUGCUCCAGAAGCUAAAUUGUAUUCACACAUUCAGAAGGUGAAAGCGAAGUAGGUAGAAGUGGGCAUGCAUGCAUAUAUGGUGUGAAGACUCGAAAGUAUGCCAAGUUUGAAUCAAUGUGUUUCAGAUGAGGAAAUUAGACAUCAUUGAUCUUGAUGGCAACCCUAUUUUAUUGGAUUUGGCCUCAGACGUCAAUGUCCUAAGUAAAUUAGUCUUUAUUUGUAAAUAAAUUAAAUCCAUUAUAUAUAUCGUAUUCUAAAGUCUAAUAAGUACCGUCGGAUACCCAGUUAAUUAUGUGGCUAUGAUUUUUUGUGGUAUCAUAAUUCAACCCUUGUAAUAUAUAUAUUUUUAUUAAAAAUUAUAUUCAACAUCAUCACCUUUUUAUGUCCAUAGUUAGGCAUCGUUUGGGAUUUAUUAUGUUGUGGUUGGGCUAUCUACUACCAAACACAAUGACUGGUGAUCGAGUUAAAAAAAAAAUUUGUGAUGGAAAUUAGCCUUUUUGGCUGUGUCAUGUCGCAAUUCUGCCGAAUGAGACUUUUAUUGAGUUUAUUCAACACCAAAGAUUUAUUUGUUAAACGUUUAAAUUUUAUUAACUUCAACUUUUCUUUUAAAUUUAUUUAUUUGUUUUUAUAUCUUAUCUGAUUUUUAAACAUUUAUAUUUGAGUAAGUUUUUUAUAUGAAUGAAAAAAGAUCUCAAUAAAAAAUAAAUAUUAUACUCUAAAAAUAUCUCUUUAAGAAUAUUUAUUUUCUACACUAUAAAACAUCAUUUUUUUUUCUUUAUUUUGAUUUAUGUUUACAUAAAUAUCAAAUUAUCAUGUUUAAAAUAUUUUUUUAUUUAUAAAAAAAAAUACCACUAAUAUUCAUAUAUUAAAAACUAAAAAUAAAUAUAUUAUUUAAAAAAUUAUAUUCAAACCUUUUUAGACUUAAAAAAAAAUUAACAUCCACCGUAGUCCGAACGCACCCUAAAUAUUUUUUAAGUAAUGAUAUAACCACAAAUUCUUGUAUAAACUUAUUUUGUACAAACUGAUGUGGCAUGAUAAAAUUAAUUAAAUUAAAUAUCACUUGGCCCACAUAAUUUAUUUUUAUUAUUUUAUAUUUUCAUUCAACCAAUAAAUUAAUGACACGUCAAUUUAUAUAAAAUAAAUUUAUACAAAAAUUUAUGACUGUAUUAUUACUCAUAUUUUUUUUUAUUAACAGUUUCACUAUUUUUAGAGGCCACGGAACCUCCUCCAUUUGAAACUGUCCCGUACUCGAGAGUCGAGUGAAUCAUCAAAACGCAUCUGUCACUUUAAGAUUCCAAGUUGGCGGAUCGGAAAGACUAUUUGGCUAACCUACCUACCUUCGGGUAAAAGGUCAAAUAGUCAUGAGUCAAUAUUGAACACUGAGUGCAUAAUGUCAUCGUUUUUUUUUUUUUUUUUGAGCAACGAGCAUAACUAACUUUUUUUUUUUUUUUCCAAAUUCAAUUAUAAUAUUUUUAAAUACUAAUAUAAAUCUUACACCUGAUAAUAAUAACAAUUUUAAUUUUAAUUUAAUUCUAGUCUUCAGAUUUUAUGUUAAUUCGACUAAAUUUACAAUAAUUCACCAACCAUUUAAUUUUGUGAAGGAGGAUAAUAUUUCAAAGCACACCAAGUACGACGAUCCUAGUAAACAAAACGACAAAUAAUCCCUCAAUUCGGGGGGUGAGAAAAAAAAACAUUAAAAAAAUCAUGCGAGACACGAUAAAAUGUGAGGAUAUAAUACGCACACCUGCCGAGCACGGUUCAUAGUUCAUUCUCAGACUCCACGCUGUCCGCUAACUUUUGCGCCGUCUCUUUCUCGCUGAAUCCGUGAAUCUCCCUCAUCAUGGCGACGACUCUGCAAUUCUGCCGUGUUUGCGCGCGAACUGACAUAGGUUCGCGCCGUAAUAAUCGCUCCGGAGCGCUGGCUCCGCCGCGCCGGAGGCCUGUGAUCGUCAGGUGCUCCGGUGAAAAAUCGCCGAGCUCGGCGGCGGCUAUUGGUGCCGAAUUUGACGCGAAACUGUUUCGGCAUAACUUGACGAGAAGUGAUAAUUACAAUCGGAGAGGAUUUGGCCACAAGGAAGAGACUUUGGAGCUCAUGAAUCAGGAGUACACAAGUAAGAUUUUCAUUUUUCUUUUUCAAAUUAAAAUUUCUUUGUUACUGGAUUUCCUCUUGUUUAUUCAGUAGGAAAUGAAAUUAUUGUUACUUAAAAUUUCUUUAUUUUAGCUAAUAAUUCACCUUAGUUUAUAUUUUUGAAAGGGAUACAUUAAGUAAUAAAAACUAAAAAAAAUCAAAGAAAUUUGUGUGAUUUUUACUUUUCAUUUUUUUAAUCUAUGAAAAUAUUUAUUUUUAUUUUUUAAAUUUUAUUUAGGACAGCCAGAUCAAUCGGUGAUUUAUGUUUUUAUGAACUCAUCAUCAGUUUGUGAUUAACAAAUUUUAAGAGAUAUUUGUUAAAAUCUUAGUGUUUCUAUUUGUCGUUAGUGUUAAUGUGGCGGCGAUGAUUUUUUAUUGAUUUCGAUGAGAAUUCUUUCAGGUGAUAUUAUAAAGAAAUUGAAGGAGAAUGGAUUUGAGUAUACUUGGGGAAAUGUUAAGGUGAAGCUGGCAGAAUCAUAUGGCUUUUGCUGGGGAGUUGAGCGUGCUGUGCAGAUUGCUUAUGAAGCAAGAAAACAGUUUCCUGAGGAGAAGAUCUGGAUUACCAAUGAAAUCAUACACAAUCCAACUGUUAAUAAGGUCUUAAAAAAAAUUAAAAUGAAUACUGCUUCUCUAAUAUUUUCAAUUUAGAUAAUUUUUUUUGCCCUGUUGUUUGUUAAGUUGUUCAUUUGUUCUUUUUCGUGGUUAUGGAUUGUAAAGAGAAAAUCUGUAUUGAUGAAACUGUUAUGCUCUUUGCUUCAAUCAUGAUUUGAUCCUUUCAUUAUUAUAUUCUAGUAAAAUGAUUACUGAGGCUCUUAAGUAUACAUGGCAGCGGUUGGAGGAGAUGGCAGUUCAAAAUAUACCUGUUGAGGAAGGAAAGAAGCAAUUUGAUGUGGUAAAUAAGGGUGAUGUUGUGGUUUUGCCUGCAUUUGGGGCUGCAGUUGAAGAAAUGGUGACUCUGAAUAACAAGAAUGUACAGAUUGUUGAUACAACUUGCCCUUGGGUGUCUAAGGUACCCUUAGCUGAGACAGAUCAGCUGCUAUUAUGAUUAUUCAUUUGCCUGUUUACAUCUUCAAUCCCUCUUCAUGUUACAUAUUAUAUAUAAGUUUUAAAAUUUUUGUGAAGGUCUGGACUACUGUUGAGAAGCACAAGAAGGGAGACUACACUUCAAUUAUUCACGGUAAAUAUUCUCAUGAGGAAACUGUAGCAACUGCAUCGUUUGCAGGAAAGUAUAUCAUAGUCAAGAAUAUGAAAGAGGUAUGUUCAGAAGGUGGAUUAUAUUCUCUUUUGUGGAGAAUCUGUAGAGCAAUAUUAGGAGAUAUUCAUUCAAAUGUUUUUUUUCAAUUGUGAUUUAAUCCAGGCUGAGUAUGUGUGUGAUUACAUUCUUGGGGGUGAACUUAAUGGAUCUAGCUCAACAAAAGAAGCAUUCCUUGAGGUAUGAGUUUUGUCGCUUAUUUGACUGUGAAUGUCGACAAUUUUUGGGGAGUUUUGCAGAUAUUGAUAUAGUUAUUUGCUUGCUUACAGAAAUUCAAGAAAGCUGUUUCAAAAGGGUUUGAUCCAGAUGUUGACCUGGUAAAAGUUGGCAUUGCUAACCAAACUACAAUGCUCAAGGGUGAAACAGAAGAGAUUGGUUAGUUGCACUAAUGCUGAUGUCAACCCAUCUGUUUCCAAGAAAGUUUUGGCUUCUGAUAUUUAAGCAAUUUUCAUUGUUCCAGGAAAACUAGUCGAGAAGACCAUGAUGCGUAAAUUUGGAGUUGAAAAUGUCAAUGAACACUUCAUAAGCUUCAACACAAUUUGUGAUGCUACACAAGUAAUUUCUUUUCCUAACUCAUCGUUUUUCCUUUUCAGAUUUUUAUAAUUUUGUGAGUGAUAGCACUUCCUGUCCACUGCAUGUGUCUUAAUACUCCUAAUAAAAGCCCGGAAUGUUGAACUUUGAAUGCUAAAGCUAACAACAUACUUGACCAUUUGUUUUCGAUGACCAAACUGCUCUGCCAGCAAUACUCAGCCACUGGUUAAACUGCAAGUUGUGUACCAUUUUGUUGUGUUCAGUAAAAUAUAACCUAAUGAUUUUGGAUUCAAUUUUUGCAGGAGCGACAAGAUGCAAUGUAUAAGAUGGUUGAGGAAAAGGUCGAUCUUAUCUUGGUUGUUGGUGGGUGGAACUCGAGCAAUACCUCACACCUUCAAGAGAUUGCAGAAGACCGUGGAAUACCCUCAUACUGGAUCGAUAGUGAGAAGAGAAUAGGUCCCGGAAACAAAAUAGCAUAUAAAUUGAUGGUAUGUGUGAACAUAUUGAAUUUUACUUGCAUCAACAGAGUAAUUUUCAAGUUUCAAAGUUUCUUUAUUAAUUAUCUGCGCUUCGUUAUCUUGUAAAUAGCAUGGUGAGCUGGUGGAGAAAGAAAAUUGGCUACCGAAAGGCCAGAUCACAAUCGGUAUAACAUCCGGUGCCUCCACCCCAGAUAAGGUAAUUUCUUCUGCAUAAAAUUUCUAAAUAGAUUCUUGCUUACCUUGAUUUUAUUUUUUUCAUUCUUGACUUCUAAUUUACCAUGCCAUAACUAAUUACAUCAUUUUCAUCCCUCCACCCCAGAUAAGGUAAUUUCUUCUGCAUAAAAUUUCUAAAUAGAUUCUUGCUUACCUUGAUUUUAUUUUUUCAUUCUUGACUUCUAAUUUACCAUGCCAUAACUAAUUACAUCAUUUUCAUCCGCUGGUGGUGAAUUUUAUAGGCUGUUUGAUAAGAUUGUUAUAAUUUUCCUCUGUGUUUUAUCCAGGCUGUUGAAGACGUCCUUAAAAAGGUGUUCGAGAUCAAGCGUGAAGAAGCCUUGCAAUUAGCGUAAACUGAGGUCCAAACAUACACAUUAUCAAUAAAUUUCGAUGUGAUUGUAUCACUAGAUAUUGUAAAAUUAUAAACACAGCCCUCUGCCGGGUCUUUUAUCAGUGCCCAUGUAAUCUGAAAUUUAUAUUUUUUGUGUAAUAUGAAGCUAGAGAUUGCAAUUUCUAACCAGCAGGAUAUUUAUUGUAAAACUCCAAUGAAAUCACAGACAAGAUUGGACAAUUACUGUCUUGUUGAACAAAAGGAGAGUAAAAAGAAUAGCACGCUUCAGAACAAAAGGAGAGGAAAAAGAGUAGCACGCUUCAUUGAAAAAUUAAGCAUGCCUCCUGUAUCAAUCAAUUGAAAGAAUUUUGUGUACCAACGUCAUCCCCCUGCAGUAAACCUCCUGAUUUGAAUCAUCAAUGAUUUGUGUUUCUUCUGGUAAUGAAAUUCAUCAAUCAUCUACUUUUAACUUUUAUUCAAGUAGUUGCGGAUCUGGAGGACCCUCCAUCGUUUUCAGACGAUCCUCAGCUUCCAAAGCCUGGCAUCAUUUAACAAGUUUAUCAACAGAUUAACUUUGAUUAAAAUUCAGAAGCUAAUGUCAUUCUUGGUACUGAGUCCUGCAGAAUUGUACAUUGAAUUACAGAACCUUAGAGCUUUUGUAAGAGAAACUUAAUUUACCUCUUUCUGCCAGUUAGUUUGAAGCAUCCGAAUCACAAGAACAGUUGUUUGAAAUAGGCAACCGAGCAACAAUCCUGACCAUAUGCCAUUGAUGCCAAGUUUAAAUCCGUAGCCCAGCAAGGCACCGACAGGAAGUCCGAAGACAUAAUAACACGCUAUGCUUAUCAAUGCAACUAAAAACUGCCAGCCUGCGCCUACGGCCACCCCUGCAAUGUUAAAGAUUUUACGCAAAUAUGAUUUUAGACGCAAAUCUUGUGCAAGAUUUUUCUGAACUGAAAUGCUUAGACUGAGAAUCUGUCGAGCGUAGUAGCAGUUACCAAGGAGAACCGCUUGGAUGCUGUUGAGGAAGAUUGUUGCAGCUAGAAAAUAUGCAAGCUUUGACGUCUCCCUUAUGAGAAUUGGUUUGUCUGUGAACAAUUUGGGAAACUGGUUCUCGAAUGCCAGAACCAAAAGAGUAAAUAAAAUUCCAAAUGCUGCAGAUGUUAUUACUGACACCGCGAUUGAGAAUUUUGCAGCUUUUGGAUGUCCAGCUCCAAGUUCAUUAGACACCCGCACGCUUCAAGAGAAAUCAGGAUGUACUUUAAUGAAAGCAGCUAGAUAAAUACAUAAGAGAAUGGAUGAUAAAGUUAUGCCUUCUUUUGGGUAACAAAUUACGCACAUUCUCAUGCCUUCAAUGAUUUCAAUCGCAAAACUCCUUUCUAAAACAAUGGAAUCAAAUUUUCUUCUACUACUCAAUUGUCAUUUGUUCUACGGUGUCAUUCAGUUAAAAAGUUAUAAAUCACUUAAAAUUAUUCCAAAGAAGCAGUGACUGACCUUAUUGCUGUAUGGAAACCUAAACUUAUCAUCAAAGUCCAUUGUUGCAAGUUCAUGCUGCCAAUUCAAACCAUGAGGAGGAAAAAUGAAAGAGGAUUUAGCAGGCUUAAUACAUAGAAACAUAAGAAAACUCACCAAAUCGAAAUGGCAUCUACUGCAAUUUCUGGAUUGUUUAGCCAUCCUACCAUGAGAAUAACUGCUGUGUAAUACCAAAGCUCCAAGCUGUUUGCACAAACAUGUUGUGUGUGUCAUGUCAAUAACGUGGAAUAUCCUAAAGCUCACUAAAUAACUCAAUUCGAAUCAUUAAUUACCAUAACAUUACAGCUGAUGCAAGUGAGAGUUUCACAAAACUAGCCAAUGACUUGAAAGCCCUCAAAGAAAAGCCUGUCCAAGCAUCUGGGAAACAUCCAGAAGUUACAUAGACUACUAGUCCCACGACCAUAAGCCACAAAGAAAUAUCCCCAGCAAUGGCUGCACCAACAAUUCCGUAAUUGAGCUUUGCCACCAGAAUCCAAUUUAAAAACACAUGAAAUAUCAAUGCUGCCAUCGAAAUCAUAGUCAUGACCCAAACUCUGCUUUGCGAUUGCAGAAAUUUCUGUAUUGGAGAGUUUAUAGCAUAAGCAAACAGUUGCGGAACUAUCCAUUUAGAAUACUUCCCUGCAAGCUCUGAAAUUUCCUUGUCUUGGCUUAGAAGCUUUAAAAAUGGCGUUGCAAAGAUAUAAAAAGGCAUUAGGCACAAAGCUGUGGCGCCGGUAACAAUGAAUGAUCUUUGCAAAUAAAUUCCAAGCAUAUCAAAUCGUCCAGCACCGACAGCCUGACCAGAUAGGGUCUCCAGAGCACUGCCCAUCCCCAGCUAAUUAACACAAAUUACACCCAAAAACAGAACAAUACCGAAAUCAGUUCAAAUUCAAAUGAAAUUUACCAUUUCUUAGAACAGAGUAUUAGCUUUCUAGCAAUCAAUUCUUCAGUUGAUAACCUUUCAAUCUCACAUUUCAUCUCAAGUAUGACUAUCAAUCAAAAUUAUUACUACAAUUUGUCAGAAUUUUUAGAUAUUACAAUCCUGAGUCUAUUAGGAGUCUGAAUUCAUACAUUUCUAUCACAACCCAAGAGCAUAGAUCAAAAUCUACACCAACUAGUGGCCAGACCUUUAUCUCAUACCAACACAGACAUAUAAACACCACUUAUCUAUCACAAUUCACACUCUCAUUACAAGUUUUACAUUCAAUGUUAUAAGUACAAGAUUUCACAGAACAUGUGUGACGAGACGAGUGUUGUAAGUUUUACUUCAUACGCAUUCACAUCGCCCCAAAAAAAAGGGAAAAAAAAAUCAUCAAUACAGAAUUUGAAGUAAAUGAUUAGCUACUCACCAUGAUUCCAUAAACAAAGCCUUCAAUGACAUUUUGAACAACGGAGACGGCUGCAAAUUCAACUUCACCCAAAUGACCAACAAAGGCAGCGGUAACGAAGGUGAUAGAGAAUUCAGAUCCUGAGGCUAAAAUCACGGGGCCAGCAAUUUCCCAUAUCUUCUUUGAUUCAUUCCAGCUUCUUUCUCUGAAGUUUUUGUGACUGCCCAAGUCAUCAUCUUGUUCCCUUGUCUUUGUCUCUAUCUCAAAUGUCUGGCUCUUCUCCGCCAUUAAUGCUGCUGUCUCUUCCUCUGUUUCUUCCAUCAAACACCUCUCACCCUCGCUCACAGCCUGUAGUCUUUCUUUUAAUGAGUGUAAGGAUUUGUUUGCAGCUAUUAUUUGUGUGAAGAGUUUAAUAAACACACGUACGUUGCAUGCGCAACUUCCUCAUUUGUACAUUUUUUUCACAAUGAUUUUAAUUUUUAUUCCACAUAUACAAAGGGAGAUUGCUAAUUUCCACUAUUGUUCUUAGGGAAAUGGAUAAACACACCUCCAAGGUUUAGGUAAAGGGAUAAAAAUUCUUCUAACGUUUCAAAAAAGAUAUUUACACCCCAAUUUAUUAUAAUUUUACCAUUAUACCCUUCUAACAUGUAAAAAAAAUUAUUAGAUUAUUCAAUUUGUCUAUAUAUUGUUAAUAAAACUAUAAAUAAACAAGUUGGAUAUUAUAAAAAAAUUAUAAAUAUACCCUCAUUGCCCAAUUUCUCUAUUUAAAUUUUUAUCAAUAACCAUUUUUUUUAAAUCUAUACACCUAAAAAAAUUGUAAAUAAAUUAUAAUUUUAAAAAUAAAAUUGGUUAUUAAUAACCAAUUUUAUUUAAACUUUAAACUUGUAUAUUUAACAAUUCUCCACAUAUCAAUAAUUUAAACUUGUAUAUUUAUAACUAAUUUUCUAUGUUAUUUAUUAUGGUAUUAAUAACCAAUUUUAUUUACAAUUUUUUUUAAGUGUGUAGAUGUCUUUUUUGAAAAUUGGUUAUUGAUAAAAAUUUAAAUAGAAGAAUGAGGUAAUGAGGGUAUAUUUAUAAUUUUAUUAACAAUAUAUAGACAAAUUGGAUAAUCUAAUAAUUUUUUUUUAUAUCCUAGAAGGGUAUAAUGGUAAAAUUAUAAUAAAUUGGGGCGUACAUGUAUUUUUCGAAACGUUAAGGGGGUUUUUUGUCCCUUUGUCUAAACGUUGGGGGUGUGUUUGUCCUUUUCCCUUGUUCUUAUUUUUAAAUACACUUUUAUUUAUAUUUAUUAUAAAUUAAAUAAAUCACAAGAAUGGAAAUGAAAAUAAAAAAAUUAAGUAUUAAAAAUAAGAAAUAUAUGUUUUGAUGUAAAAAAAUUAAUAAUAAAAUAUUUUUCUUGUACUUUUUACAUUCAAUUUUAAAAUAUUAUAAAAUAUUUAUUAUAAGAAAAUAUUUACAAAAUAAAAAAGUACGAGAAAAAGUUUAUUAUUAAUUUUUUUGGUUCAUAACAAAAUAUAGAUUUCUUACUUUUAAUACUUAAUUUUUUAUUUUAAUUUCCAUUUAUGUGAUUUAUUUAAUAUAUAAUAAAUACAAAAAAGUGUAUUUAAAAAUAAAGAUAAUAUUGUAAAUUUAUACUGUCAGGGAAUUAUUGGUUAUUAUAAAAAUAAUAGGGGUAAAUGAUAUAUAUUAAUUACAAUAUGAGAAAAUUUGACAAAUUUUCUAUAUACAAAUGUAUAAAGUUAUUUGCCCCUAACUAGCCCUCAAAUUAUAAUUAUUUUGAUUUCGUAAUCCAUAUUUUCCAAGUAGAGUCUCACGAAAUCUUUCAUCUUUAUCUUCAAUUACUUAUGAAAACAACUUAAAUUUAUUAUGACCAUUUUUCAUUGGCUGUCCACAAAUUCUAUUAUCAAGAAUCGUGGCCCAGCUAAAUAAUUUUGUUUGGUUAACCGUUUUAGUUUAAAUCCUACAAAAAAUUGAUUUAGACAUAGCUCACACUUCGAUUCUUUUGAAAAAUUAAAUUGUUAGUGAGUAAAACUAUAUUGAGUAAUGAUACAGCCAUAAACUCUUGUACAAACUUAUUUUGUAUAAACUGAUGUGGCAUGAUAAGAUUGGUUGAAUUAAAUAUCACUUGGCCCACAUGAUUUGUUUUUAUUAAUUUAUAUUUUCAUUCAACCAAUCUUAUCAUGCCACAUCAGUUUGUACAAAAUAAGUUUGUACAAGAGUUUGUGGCUGUAUCAUUACUCAACUAUAUUAGGAGUAAAAUUAUAAAUAUAUAUAAUCAAUAAAAUUAUUUAAAAAUCAUCUAGUUAAAUUAUUUGGGACCACUAUACCUUAAUUAAUAAAUGUAAUCUAAUUUUAAAUUUAUAUCUUAAAAUGUGCGUACGUUUAAUAAACAUAUUUGGAGGUGUUCGUGAAAAGAUGGUUGGUAGAAAUUUAUCAAGGACAAUGACAGGUAGCUAUAAGUUGGUAUUAAUAAAAGCUCUCCUUGAUUUGAAAAUUCAAACUUGGUAAGCUGUGAAUUCAAUUUUAUAACAAACAGUGAAUUUAAGCCUGUACUUGAAAUCGGUUGGUUACUUUCUUUUUCGGUGCAACAUUGUUGGAUACAGUGCUUUUCUAAGCUAAUAUCCACUUCUCAUUGUCAAACCUUAAGUUUUUAUUUUAAUUUUAUUUUAAAUUUUUUUAAUGUUUUCGUUCCUCUAUUACCCAGCAUAAAAAAAGAUGUGAGAAUGUCAAUUGAAAACUUAAGGUAUCAAGAAUGAAAAAUUUUAAAAGCAAAAGUUAUUUCAACAGAGAAUGAGAGAUGGCUGAAGCAUUUUUUUUCAAGUCUUGGCCAACUGUUAUUUGAUUCAUUGUAACAUAGUGGGAUUGCCCUUAUGAAAUUGUUACUCAAGUUGGUGAUGAAGGAAUAAUCAUGAUAAGAAUAAAGCAAAAAGAGAAAUGUAAUCAUAAAGAAUGGUAUAGUAUUCUAUUAAUCUUUCUUGUCAUUGAAGUUCAAAGAAUAAUGUAUGGUCAGUAUAAUAUUUUAUGAAUAAUAAUAAAGCUGGAAAUAAGGAAUACAAAUCAUAUAAUCUCAACACUAGGAUUUUUGAACUCAUAAACAACAAGAUAUUUGAUGCUUGCAAGUAUAAUUUCAACUCCUCUGUCAUGCUGUUGAUUCUGCUGAUGAAUUGAGUUGCGAUCGCAGUGCUUCUUGCUUGUUUCUCAUAGAACCAAUAAUGAAUUAUACUCCCAGAAAUCGUAAUUUCACCUGUGCAUGAAACAAGAAACUGAUGCAAGUUGUGACCAUUAGAGCACCAAAACCAGCAUACACGAUCGGUACUGAAGGGUCAGUCUGAAAGCAACCAACAAGGAUUAAUUCUAGUGUAAUUAAUUUAUAAAAUAGAUACAAUUACAAAUUGUAUUGUAUGCAUUAAAUUAAAGUUAACUUCAGGUCAAGACCAGUACUCCCGAUAGCAUCUACAACAACAAUUUUUGUGCCAUCAAUGUCAAUUACAAGCUUAGAGUUAGGUCGUCUGACUCCUGCAAAUUUCCCUUCUUGUUCAUAUAUGACUAAUGAUUGCAGAUCACGAGCAAGCAUUGAUCUAAAAUUAAACAAGAUGGAAGAACAAACUACGCGCUUACUGAACUUCCAAAAUCUUAGAGGAAAGAAAAGUAAGUACUGAAUUCUUGCCUAAAAUGUAAGUGUGAAAGAAAUACAUACCUUCCCUCGAUAUUAGGAGAAUUAACAUUUCCAAGAGGUAAGAAAGUCCCAAACAGCUUUUUGUCUCCAUCGACUUUUAGAGGUGCCAUUGCCAAAUUGAAAGGUCCUUCAUCAUUCUUGAGUACCUGCAGUGCCGAAAAACUCCAAACUGUCUGAUAUAUCGUGAUCCCACCAUACCUUGAAGGGGAAAUAACACUUAUUGUUUUCUUCAUCACCUCCUUCCCCUCAAUGUCAAAUAGAGAAAGAUCACUGUGAAACUGCUUCAUCAGUAAACCGGAAGAAAAACUUAAAAUGAAAGUAAAACAUCACAUUUGAACCAAAGAAUUUUUGGAGUUUCACAAGAAAGAUAAAAAAAAAGAAAUGAUAGUUAGCAGCAAAUCUUUAUGAAGAUCUUGAUCAGACCAUGCUUAUAAUGCACAAUGCGUACCUAGAACUCCUUAUAAGGUCCCCCUUCCUUUAUGCUAGUUACUAGACAAGAAAAAGGAAACUUACCUCUCCACUAUCGUAGUAAUCCAUGUAGAAUUUAUUGACAUGAACCUCAGUGCUGAAAGCAUCAGUAGGAGUAGAAAGAAAUCCAUUUGGGCCUAACACUCACCCACGACAAAAUUCAGCACUUCUGGAAUCGUAACGGAACUCCUGAAGCUCCCAAUUGCACUAGGAGUUCCACCUACCAUUGUCAGCAGCAUCGCCAAAUGUACUCCAAUAGGGGCAAAACCGACCAACGAGUGCUUUAAAGGCAUACAAGGACGGUCCUUUCAAGAGUACCUGUAAUCGCAAAAGGCAAGCAUAAUCAGCAGGAAAUCUUGCAUAUAAUGCAGCAAUGUACGAGGAACAAAAAUGAUAUGAGUGCUUAUUAUUUAAAAAAAAAAAAGUUACAGUCAAUGCACUAUGCAUUUAAGUGAGACAUUAGGACCCAUGGUGAAUAAUAUAAUUGAUUUUGUUCAAACAUAAAUUGGUCUAUCAUGAUGACUGCUGGUACCUAAAAUAAGUUUGUCAGUACCUGUUGAUGACUCAAAUACUAUUUAAUCUCCAAGGAACUUAGACUUUACAAGUAUUAACAAGUGAAAUCUCAAUUUCAUGAGUGUCAACGAAUAAUGCUGUUAAAAGAGCAAGUCUACCCAGAAAAAGAACAUCAAAUAUUAUUUUUGCACUGAAUUGGUCUAUACAUAAAAAGUUUGGCAACUAAGACAAUUUUAAGUUUUAAAGAGUAAGAACAGAUGAAAGAAAACAAAAUAAGAAAGGAUGCAAAAUGAUAACCUCAUAUCCUGCACCCAUUAGAAUAACACCGAAAAGUAAGAAAGGAUGCAAAAUGAUAACCUCAUAUCCUGCAUCCAUUAGAAUAACACCCAAAUCUUGAAGAGAUGGUCUCGGAAGAGUACUUGAAAAUUCCUACUUUUCAGAUUGCCUCGGUAGAAUGUAAAAAACUCUAUCCGCAUAAAUUACAGAGUUGUGUCAACGGAAAGCUUAUCCAAAUCAUUUCCAUUGUAGCAAAGGAUUUUGGUAGAAUAACCAGACCUUUUUGCAACCUUAAUCAGGGUGAUUUGUGUAAUGUAACUGCAGGCCAUGAGUGAUAAUCCCAUUAUUUUGCCUCAAGAGAUAGAAUUCAACGGAUCAAAACCUGCGUAGGAUAGCUAGGUCUUAACCUUUGAACAUUCUCUUGUGAAAUAUAUUUACUUUACUAACUAAUUAGUAGAUGCGAUGUCUUUGAACUAUCCCGUCGUUUAUGUAAAUAAUAGUAUAUUUCAUACAUAAAUUUUUCCUAAUACUUUUGAGUUCUCAUGGUUACGUUCAUUUUGGUGAUGAACAUCUACUUGGUUCCACAAGAAUUUAUAAGAAUUGAGCCAUAAACAAUUCCCUUUGAAGUCGCCUCACUUCUCUCUUAUAUUUGUGAUUUUUUAAAUCAAAAGUAGCCUUUACUUUGCUUGGAUUUCCAACACAUAAGAAGCCAUUAAAAGGAUAGCAUACCUUUUCUUUCUACAGGCAUCAUUAUUUUCAUCAUAGGGAUGGACAUGAGGCUAAUCCCUGCAGUGAUCCAACAAGGUAUUUUAUAAUUAAAUUGUCCCUUUGAACCUAGUUCUCGGUAUCUCCAGUCAGUUAAGUUGGGUUUUCUUUCAUAAAAUAAACAUUUUAUUCUUCAGGCUUUAGUCUCAUUCCCCUCAAUGUUUUUUUCUACUAACUAUCUAUUUAACACUUUGGUUAGUGGAUCUGCAAUGUUAUCCUUUGACUUUAUAUAGUCAAUAGAAAUAACUCUAGUAUAGAGUAGUUAUCUAAUGGUGUUAUGUCUAUGACGUAUAUAUCUAGACUUAUCGUUAUACAUAUUGCUACGUUCCCUUCCAAUUAUGGAUUAACUAUCACAAUAUAUGCAAAUUGCUGGUACAAAUUUUACCCGUUUGGAAUAUCAUUUAAAAAAUUCCCUAGCCAUUCUGCCUCUUUACCACAUUUUUCUAAUGCGAUGAAUUCAUAUUCCAUUAUUGACUUGGCUAUCAUUGUUUAUUUGGAUGAUUUUCAUGAAACGACAACACCUGCUAGUUUAAACACGUAGCCACUGGUAGACUUUGAGUCUUUUACAUCAAAUAUCCAGUUUGCAUCAUUGUACCCUUCUAGUAUAGCUAGAUAAUAGUAUAAUGUAGCUCAUAUUUACGAGUAUAGUGUAAGCAUAUGAGUACUCUUACUAUAGCUUUCCAGUGAUCGGCAAUUGGAUUACUCAUAUAGCUAGUAAGUUUGCUUACUGUAUAAACUAAGUUUGGCCUUAUACAACUUGUUAGGUACAUCAGACUGUUUAUCACUCUACAUUCUUCCACUUGAGAGAACCUUCACCUCUAUUCGUAGAUAGAUGCAAACUUGUAUCCAGAGGUGUUCUUGGCCCAACAUAAUCUUCUUUGUUGAAUUUUCUAAGAAUUUUAUCCAUAUAAUGUGAUUGAUUCAGAAUAAGUUUUUUAGACGUCUUUCAAAUUUUUAUUCCCAAAAUGACAUUUGCUAGAGCCGUGUUUUUCAUGUCAAAACUAGACUUCAACAUAUUAUUGGUAAAUAUGAUCAUUUUGUCAUCACUCCCAACAAUUAACAUUUCAUCAACGUAAAGACAUAAAAUGACAUAGCCAUUUUCUACCUUUUUGAUGUAUAUAUAUAUAUAUAUAUAUAUAUAUAUAUAUAUAUAUAUAUAUAUACAUACAUUAUAAAUGUUCAAAUCUAGAAUUUUAAAGUGUAGGAACGUCCGAGAAAAUAUAUAAAUCGUACGGUUUAAGCGCUUUAUUUCAUAUAUAUAUAUAUAUAUAUAUAAAAUGAGCCUCUUGUUCACUAUCUUGAAUUUCUUCUUGUUCUUGGUCCUCACUAUCUUCGUUGAUAGCCUCAUGUGUUUGUUUAAUCAAACUUGAAUCUUUCUUGAAUUUACAUGGAAACACAUGCUCAAAGAAUGAUGCAAUUUUGGAUUUUAUUAUUGUAUUCUUAUAAAUAUCUAGUGUGAUAUGCACUACUAUUAUGUGAAUAACUUAUGAAAAUGCAAUCAACAGUCUUUAUUUAUGUCUUUUUUUCUCUUUUUAUGAAGGAAUGACAACUUUAGCAAGACACCCCUACACUUGCAAGUAUUUGUAGGAAAAUACUCUACUCUUCUAUAGUUCAUACGAGUCUUUUUUGCUUCUUUUUAGGGUACCUUUUUAAAAGGAUAAAACAACUUCUCCCCACAUAUUCUUAGGUAUCCCAAAACUUAUUAAUAUUGCAUUCAUAAUUUUUUUGAAGGUAUGAUUUUUUCGUUUAGUAAUCUCAUUAAAUUAAGGCGACUAAGGAGCUGUAGUUUGAUGUAUGAUUCCAUAUUACUCAGAAAGUGACUUAAAUAGAAUAAUAUACUCACCACCUCUAUCAAUUCUCAACUCCUUAAUUUCCUUAUAUAGUUUAUUCUCAACUUCAUUUUUAUAGAGCAUAAAUUUCUCUAUAGCUUUGUUCUUGCUUUUUAUAUAUAGGUAAUAAAAUAUUUAUUACCGCACCUCGAUUCUAUGGAUUUAAAAUCAUAAUCACUAUGUAUUAAGCCAAGUUUCAAUUCCUUGAAAUGAUAACCUUAUUCAUUUUGUUUCAAUAGAAAAGUCACACUUAUGUUUCGUACCAAUUCGGAAAGUGGGUAUAUGAUUCAUGUUAAUUAACUUAUGCAAGGCAUUAUAAUUAACAUAUCCUAAUCUAUCAUGCCAUAAAUUAGAAAACUCAAGAAAAUAAGCAAAAGAAAUAGCUUUAUUAUUCUUUGUUUUUACAACUAUUACAUUCAAUUUGAACAGCCCAUCAAGUACGUAUCAUUUUCCCAUAUACAAUCCAUUUUUAGGCAAAAUUAUUUUAUCUGACUCGAACACCAUUCGGAAUCCAUACUUGUUUAAAAGCAAUCCAGAUACGAGAUUCUUGUGAAUUUCUAGCACGUACAAAACAUUGUUUAGAAUUACCUCUUUUCUAGAAGUCAUCUUUAGAAUCAUUUGUCUUUGACCUUCUAUCUCAAGCGUGGUUGAAUUCUCUAUAUAUAGCUUUUCACCUUUUCUAUUACAUUCAAAGAAAAUAAACAUUUCUUUUAUCUGAGCAUACAUGUCAAAUGGCAACACUGUCAAUCCACUAUCUCUUAGAUUGAAGUGCACCAGAUCUACUUCAAAAACUACUCUAGAAAGAUUAAUGUCUAACAUAUCUUUUGACAUGUCCUCUACCAAAUUAGUUUCUCGAUGUCCCUUUUUCUUUGGCAAUCCACAUUCCAAAGCCUUGUGAUUCAUUUUAUCAUAGUUGAAGCAUUUCCUUUGAAAUUUGGUUUGCUUAUUGGAAAUCCAUCCUUUCGCACCUAGCUUGUUCUUGUUGGCCUUUCUAUUCCUAGUACUUUGACUACAUUCUAUAGCAUUGGCCUUAACCAUAGAAAUGACAAUUUUUUUUUUCAGUUGCUUCUUCAGCUUAAAGUUUGAUAAUUAGAUAUUUAAAAUUCAUUUCCUUUCUCUUAUGCUUUAGAUAACUCUUGAAAUUUUUUCAUGUUGGAGGCAGUGAUAGCAGCCACUUAAAAGUUUCAUUGAAAUCCAUCCCUUUGGGAUAAAUUUCUGCUAGAAUAAUUUGCUUGUCUUGAACUUGAUUUGUAACAAUUUUGAAGCCCAUUAUCUAAUAAUCUAGGAAGCAGCCUAUGACAUGACAAAUUUCUUAGUACUAGCAUCCUCAGUUUAUAUUUUCGCUCUAACGACUCCUAUAGCUCAGUGGCUCUUUUCUUUCCAACAUACACACUAUGUAAAGAAUUGCUCAAAGCCAUUCAACAUAUAAUUUCUACAAAGAAAAUUGGAAUGAUUCCAAGCAUUUAUUGCAGUAAUAAGAAUCUUCCAAGAUUUAAGGUGGUCAAGUAAAAGAAAAUUUUUUAUUGUUACCAUUUGAAGUUCUUUUAGUGAAUUUCUUAGGUUUUUUGCAUGAAGAAUAACUACAGAGACAACAGCACCAGUGCCAACACUAGCACACGAGAUAGUAGGAAGAGGGUCAAAAUUUCUCGUUUGCUAGCCCAUAUUAGUUGCCAUUUCAACAAAUAAAAUCUAUUAUAAGAUUAUUGUGUGUGUUAUUAUUAAUUAGCAAGCAAUAUAAGACUACCCACUUUGUAUGCAAAAAUAUACUAGUUAGGUUCUUAGAAAAAACUAGAGGGAUGAUAGUGGUUCCGCUUAAAAGCCAAACUCCUUGGGUAAUCUAUAUAGCCUUGAUGAUAAAACUUUUCUAAUGUACUUAAGAUUACUAAUAAGUCUCUUACACACCUAUCACAAUUUUAUAAUAUUAAUAAUAAAUUAAAUUUAAAUAGCAAAUAUAUAACAUAUAAAUCAACAAUGCCUAUAAAGAUAUAGUGUCCUUAAAAAAGAUUCGUCACUUUCGCAAUGGCGUUUAAAUUAGAUUGGUGUAUGUGUCCCAAAAUACAAUGGACCUAAAUAGUGUUGACAACAUAACGCCACUAUUCUAGCGAACUUUCAACAAAUAUUUGAAUUCUGUCACACUGAAGUCCAAAACUAGAAAUUAUUUGCUUAAGAGAGAAGAAUAAGAAUCACUUGGAUUUUUGGUGUAUUUUGCAAGUGAACACAAAAGCCAAUAUAUAUAGGUUUCAAAGGACAACUUUAGUUAGUUAAAAUUCAAUGUGGGAUUUUUUUGCAUUUCCCCAAACCAAUAAGUGCUUUUUAAGAUUCAAUUUCUGAUUCACUCAAACACCAAUUUGAGCAUAUAUGAUUUGUUGAAAACUUCACAGAGAAGAUUUCGAAUUAUCCAUGUAACUAUAUUUGUUUAAUAUUUUUUUCUCAAAAUUGGUCUCAGAGUAGCUACCUUGUGCUAUUUUUUCUAACAAAUAUAAGUCCAACUCUGCCCAUUAACCCAUCAGAUUAAUGAGACCUUGCCAUUAAGCCAUCAAAAUGGUGAGGAGACCAGCUCUUCCCAUUAACUUAUCAAAAUAAUGAAGUUAGAGUUUUUCCUCAGAAAUUUCAUGAACUGAUAUCAAGUGUUUUCAAAGAAUCUAGAUUUCUCAAAAGAAGUUAGUAACUCACCCAAAAAUCCAUUACAAAAAAGGUAUAGAUCAUUGAGCUUGGUAAGUUUAACUUCCAAGUGAACAUGGAAUUUUUCCUUAAAAAGAGGAGAAUCUUAUAUCCAAGUAGGAUAAUGAUCCAAUAAUUUAUAUUUAAGGAAUUUUACUUGAAAACUUGGUAAAUGAAAGUCCCAAUCUCCAAGCAAAAUCCCUUUCUGAAAUUCUGGCAAGUAUACAGAGUGAUCUACAUUGAACAUAAGAUCAAGACAUUGAAGGUUGAGCAAUUGAAAAAUCUCUUCAGGAAAUUCACCUUGCAAAGAACAUUCACUGAGAGAUAAGUAAAUCAAAGAAGAUAAAUUUGCCAUUGCUGGAGUAACUGCAGAAGAAAUAUCGAUAUCGAUAAGGUAAAGUGCACUCAUGUUGGUCAACUUCUUAGCUAGAUUUUGUUAGACCUGGCUUUUGGACCUCCAUCUUGGAGAGCUCUAGCAACUCUGUUGGUACUUGACCUAAAAAGAAAGACAGAGAGAGAUCCAGAGAUGUUAGCUUCGAAAGUUUCAGGAUUUGAGAUGGAAUUUUACAUAGAAGGAAUGUAAAAUUGAUAGAACCAUAGAGGCAACUACUAGUGAGUUUAGCAUGAUCACAUGACCAGUGUCCUAAUGAUCACAUUCGAUGCCAUCCCAUGACCAACAGUCAGUAACAUUUCCUUCCUCCUGGCACCAAGAUUCAACCUUGGUAUAAGCUUAAGGAUAAGCAGAAACAAAGUUAUCAAUCACAAGGCUUUGUUUGAAUUGCAAUAAGGCAGAACGCUCAUCAUUACGGCACUGUCGGUGCAAAUGAGCAAGAUAAUAACUAAUAAGAUAAAACAAUGAGAGCAAAACAAUUGCAUGCAUGCAAUUGAAGUGAGAUGAGAAUAACCCCCAUAAUGCUUUUAACACAAUAGGAUAUGAAAGCUUUGAGGAAUUUUCUUUAAAGGCCAUGCAUGGAACUGAGAUGAGGUUUAUAUCGGCAGUUCCAAGUGCAUCUAUUAUCUCCAAGUCAAUCUAGUUUCUUUUUCCACUAAUGUGAGCAGGUAUAAAUUCAAUAUAUUUUGUUUCCACUCAAGAAAUUUUGCCAACUAAAUUAUUGGCACCUAUAUAUAUUUGGGGUGGGUAAAAGGCUGAGCCGAAGCGAAAGUGUUUUAGAUAAAAAAAAAAAAUUAUUUUUAGUAGUAAAAUAUAAAUUUACGAAUGCUUUAUGAUCAGUUAUGUUGCAGUAUAAGCUAGUUCUUAAAAAAAAAAAUAAAUUUAUAGUGUAAUUGAAUACGUGUCAGUUUUGAUAAUUUUUAAGAACAAUAAUAUCGAAUAUGAAUCUUCAUGCAAUUAAAUGUGUUGUAUCAUAAUCAUAAAAAGCGGAAUAUUUAACCCAACAAGAUUCAAACAUUUGAUACGUUAUAAAACAUACUGGCUUUUAACUAAGAGCCGUUGAGAAUGCUAUCAACCGAAAACUCUCUCGACAAGAACAGCCCCCCUCCCCUUGAGGAUGACAGAUCGACUAAGAAAACCAAAUUCAGAGCACAGGGGGAGGAUGGAGAUAACCCAUCUAUGCUAUCCUUUCGAGAUAAGCUCAUGGAACAACAAAGGGGGAUAUUGGAUGCUGAAAUCGGUAGAGAAGAACUCAUAGGGAGGGAAAAGGAUAUUGAAAUCGAAAAGGAGGAUGUGGUCAUUGAACGGGAAGGCUAUUUACCUUCGAUUUCUUUUUCACAAAAAGUCCAUGAGCAACUAAUAAAACCAUGGCAAUCCACUGUGGUGGUGAAACUCCUUGGUCGCAUGAUUGGAUACAAAGCACUUUGCUCACGGCUGGAAAUCUUGUGGCCAAAUAUUGGGGGAUACUCUGUUAUAGAUUUGGACAAUGGCUAUUUUCUCGUUAAGCUCAGGAAGGAAUGCGAUGCUGACUUUGUUCUUACAGAAGGGCCAUGGCUGGUCGCGGGGCAUUACCUGACUGUUCAGCCAUGGUCACCUCAUUUCGACAGCUCGAAUGAAAAGAUUGACAAAAUCACAGCAUGGAUAAGGCUUCCAGGUAUGCCUUUACACUACUACCAUAAAAAAAUCAUUAGAAUGUUGGGGCAUGUCAUUGGAAAGGUUAUCAAAAUUGAUUAUAAUACGGAAUUGGCGACGAGAGGGAAGUUUGCCCGUAUUGCAGUUGAAGUAUCCCUUGGAAGUCCUUUAAUCUCUCAAUUUUUAUUGGAUGGUAGAAUCCAAAGGAUUGAAUAUGAAGCUCUCCCAACAAUAUUCUUUGGAUGUGGAAAGUAUGGACACAUUUCUUCCGCAUGUCCAGAUACUUUGAGGUUGGAAACUAGAGGGGAGAAGGCGAAUGAUAUGGCUCUAGGUGGCAACACCAACGCAAAAUCAGAGGUCUCGCCGGCGGUAGUAAAUCUGGAAAAUCCUAAAUUUGGCCCUUGGAUGAUCGUGGCUAGGAGAGGAAAUUAUAGAGGAAAUAAGGGAAGAAUAGAUGCACAGGAGCCGAAUCAAAACAGCUUUGGAAAACAGAAAAUAGGCUCCAGAUUCAGUGUUUUACAUCAGGAAAAUGGGUUAGAAAAUGAUGCUGGGGUGAGUUCAAACGCGGCUACCACCAUGGACAACCACAAGAAGACCGUUGAUCCGACCAAAGACAAGGACAUGGUGAUAUCACGUGACUCUAAAGGACCCACCCCAACGAAGUCGGCUGGGAGCAAAGGAAAACUCGUGACCAGAAAUGAGAAGACUGACACACCUGAACACACUGCACCCACACCUUUCCGUGAAAUACACACUAGACCUCUCCCCCCCACAAAUGAACCCAGCUCAUCAAAACAACAACCCCUCGAGGCCAUGGAUAGAAAUAUCUCAAGAAACAAAUCUAAGUUAUCUAGAACCCAUCAUUUUGAACCAACUUUAAUCCCAACGUCGCUAGAUCCUAAAUAUCAUUCAGCAAUUAUAUUCAAAAACAACUUUGAAAAUGAGACCUCUCAGCCCCCCCUGUCAAUCCCUCCCAAACCAAACCCAAAUGAGGAGCCUCCUGAUAUAGGAGAUAGAGACAUAGAAAAGGUGGGGAGGGAAUCAUCCGACAGCGAGUAUAUGGAGGAAUCAGAGGAGGAUGAUUCUGAGAACUCAGAAGAGUCUAAAUUUUUCGUUGAGGCGGAUAAUAUGGAGGUUAAUCAGCAAGGCUUUGAGCCUUUGGAGUAAGUUGGUCCUUCUCUUUCAUUUCUAUUAUAUAAUGAAUCUGUCUUUUUUGUUUCGGAAUUGUCAGGGGGCGGCCUCGCAGUCCUUUAGACGAAUUUUCAGGAUGUUUACUCAAAGUUAUAAACCUCAGCUUGUGGCUCUUUGUGAACCCCGGAUUAGUGGAGUGAAAGCGGAUGAUUUUAUUCGUCAUAGUGGGUACGAUUAUUCCCAUCGUGUGGAGGCGGCUGGUUUCUCAGGUGGAAUUUGGCUUCUAUGGAAAGCGGGUUUAGAUGUCACCAUCCUCAUUAACCAUAGGCAAUAUAUUCACCUCCAAGUGUCGGAUAAAAGAGGGUUAAUUACCUGGGUCACAGCGAUUUAUGCUAGCCCUGUUCCUUCUCUCCGAAACUCUCUUUGGAAUGAUAUAAAUUAUUUGGCUGAGAAUAUUCAGGGUCCUUGGUUGCUAGCAGGUGACUUCAAUGCUAUUCUUUCAAUCUCAGAGAGUAAAGGAAGCACUAAUAACCGUAGCCAGCCUUGUAAAAAGUUUCAAGAGUGGUUCCACAAACACGGCCUCUGCGACCUCCAUUAUACGGGGCCAAAAUUUACUUGGAAAAGAGGUUCCCUUUAUAAGCGCUUAGAUAGAGCCAUUUGCAAUGAUAGGUGGUUCAACACUUUUAACAAGGCGCGAGUCUUUCAUUUACCAAGAUUGGGGUCUGACCAUCGUCCGAUUCUCCUAAGUUUGAAUGAUGAGAGUAUUGGAAACAUAGGGGUGAAACCUUUUCGUUUCCUUGCUUCUUGGCUCAUUGACAAGCGGUUCUCGGGCUUUGUUUCUCAGGUGUGGAAGAAGGAUGUGGAUUAUACUGUUUCGGUAAAGGAGUUUACUGAAAAAAUUGACCAUUGGAACAAGAAUGAGUUUGGAAACAUCUUUCAGCGGAAAAAAAAUAUCUUAGGUCGAUUAAAUGGAAUCCAAAAAGCGCUAGAGAGUCACCAUUCGGAUAAUCUAGUAAAGCUGGAGACUCAGCUCAGCAAGGAGCUUAACGACAUUCUUAAUCAAGAAGAACUCUUGUGGGUUCAGAAAUCGCGAUGUGAUUGGAUCCAGUUUGGAGACAGAAAUACUUCUUUUUUCCACCAGAGGACAAUGACGAGGAGAAGACAUAACCACAUUGUCUGGAUGAAAGAUGAUAGGGGCCAGUGGAUUUCGGAUGAGGAUGAGCUUAAGGCUCAUGCUAUCAAUUUUUUCACCAAGUUAUACAUGGCUGAUAAUAAUUCUAUUGAGAGCUAUUAUACCCCUAAUGAUUUUCCUUGCAUUGAUACAGGGAGGAACCAUGACAUGGAGAAACCAGUGGAUGACGAGGAAAUUCGUGACAUUAUUUUCAGCAUGAAACCAUUAAAGGCACCGGGGAGUGAUGGCCUGCACGCUAUUUUCUACCAAGCUCAAUGGGAGGUGGUGGGAAAGUCGGUUUGCAAACAAAUCAAAGAUGUUUUCAAUGGAGAGACAGUGCCUGAAGAUUUCUUGAAGAUUUUAAUCGUUCUUAUUCCUAAAAUUGACAAUCCAACUAGUUUAAAUUCUUUUCGACCUAUUAGUCUUUGCACAAUUAUGUAUAAAACGAUCACUAAGAUUAUCGCUAAUAGAUUAAAAACUUUUCUCCCUGACCUUGUAGGUUCGCAUCAAACGAGCUUUGUUCCAGGAAGGCAUAUCACCGAAAACAUUAUUAUCGCCCAGGAGGUUAUUCACAGUAUGAGACGGAAGACGAGCAAACGAGGCUUUAUGGCUAUCAAAGUAGAUUUGGAGAAAGCUUAUGACAGAUUAAGUUGGGAGUUUAUCAAGGAGACUUUGGAUUUUGUGGGUCUUCCUACAAAUUUUAUACGAAUCAUAAUGGAGUGCAUCACUUCCGGCUCCAUGCAAAUUCUUUGGAAUGGCAAGCUGACCGAAUCAUUCAAGACUUCUAGAGGGAUUCGUCAGGGGGAUCCAAUCUCUCCUUACAUUUUUGUGCUAUGUAUUGAAAGACUCAGCCAUCUCAUUAACCGAGAAGUGCAGCAGAAUCGAUGGAAACCCAUAAGGCUGUCCCGGAAUGGUAUACCCUUUACCCAUCUUUUCUUUGCUGACGACCUUCUUCUCCUUGCAGAAGCCUCCUCUGAUCAAGCGAAGGUGGUGAUCAAAACUUUGAAGAAUUUCUGUAACAUGUCUGGAGAGAAAGUUAGCACAGAAAAAACUCAUUUAUAUUUCUCAAAAAAUGUGGCUCCUGCGGUGUCAAAGGAAAUUAGUGAGCUAAGUGGGUUCUCAACCUCCAAAGACUUGGGGAAGUAUUUGGGUAUGCCGCUUCUUCAUGGUCGGGUGACCAAUAAAACCUAUCAGGAGGUCCUAGAUCGUGUAGAUAAACGGCUCUCAGGAUGGAAUGCUAAGCACCUCUCUUUUGCUGGAAGGCUGACCCUCACUCAAGCGGUAAUCCAAGCCUUGCCAAUUUACUCUAUGCAAACCACAAUGAUUCCGCGAGGCACUCAAGAAAAAAUCAAUCGCAUUUCUCGCCGAUUUAUAUGGAGUGGAAAUAAUGAAAGGAAUAGCAUGGCCAUGGCUAGCUGGGAAAGAAUCUGUCAACCCAAAAUGGUAGGAGGGCUUGGCUUAAAAAAUCUUCGCUACAUCAAUGAGGCGCUGUUGAUGAAGAUUGGGUGGAAUAUUGUUGUGUCCCCUACCAGCCUGUGGAUUAAAGUGUUAUGCUCUAAAUAUGGAGUUGAGAACGAUAACCUCCCCACAGAGUUACCUACAAGAUACGGUUCUUAUGUGUGGCGUGCUGUGGGCACGGUGUGGAAUAAAGUCUUGCAGGGGAUUUGUUGGCAAGUUGGAGAUGGGUCAAAGGCUCGUUUUUGGAAAGAUUGUUGGGUUAUGCAAAAUGUAAGGUUGAAGGAUUAUGCUGUGAUGCCGGUGUCGAGCAAUAUGCUGGAAAACUCGAUCAGGGACUAUGUGAACGAUCAUGGGCAAUGGAACUGGAAUGUUUUUAGCAAUUAUCUUCCUCACAGCUUAGUGCUUGCUAUUGCUGCCAUUAUGCCUCCUUGUGUCGAGGGGGGUAUGGACCGCAUAUUUUGGGGCUUCUCGACUAAAGGAAAUUUUACAGUGAAAUCAGCUUACCAAAAUAUUUCAAGCCGAGUCUCCAGCAAUAUUGGACCAAGAUGGGAUCUUAUUUGGAGCUGGAAAGGGCCCCAAAGUGGAAAAACUUUCAUGUGGUUGGCUAUUCAAAAAAAAUUAAAGACUAAAGCUGAGCUUGCUAGAAGACAUAUUUUGGCAGAAAACAAUUGUGAGAGAUGUAAAGUUUGCGUGGAAGACUCGCUUCAUGCCCUUAGAGAUUGUGUGGUAGCCAAGCGUAUUUGGUUAGACAUAGUCCCGUGUAGCUUACGUGGAAGUUUUUUCUCUUUAAAUUUAGAGGAUUGGAUUCUUACUAAUCUAAAGCCUAACUGUUAUGAUUGUAAUGGAGUGGACUGGUCGGGAAUUUUUGGCACGGCAAUCUGGCGGUUGUGGUUUUGGAGGAACCAAGCUCUGUUUAAGAAAGUACAGAGGAGCAGUCAAAGCAUCACUUUAGAUAUUAUGACCAGAGCUGAAAAUGCCCAUAAAACCAUGAUGGCCUUGAUCAAGCCUGGAGCUUCAAAGAUGGUUAAAUACUUUGGGUGGAAACCUCCUCCUGAAAAUGUCUUCAAAUUGAAUACUGAUGGGGCCUGCAAAAAGAUGAACAUGGCAGCUGCAGGGGGCUUGAUAAGAAAUGCAAAUGGGAUCUGGAUUGCUGGAUUCUGUACGAACAUUGGAAUUAGUUCGGUUACAAAUGCUGAGCUUUGGGGUUUAUUCUAUGGUCUUGACCUGGCUUGGAAGAUGGGAAUUCGGUCUUUGUUGGUUGAAGUUGACAGUAAGUGCAUCACUGAGCUUCUUGCAGACACGAACAAUAACCCAAGCAAAUUUUCUUCUGUGAUUCAAAGUAUCCGAAGGCUCAUAAAUAGAGAAUGGCAUGUGUGCAUUAGCCACAUUUACCGCGAAGCAAACUUUGCAGCGGAUUUUCUUGCAAAUUUCGCAAUGAGGCAACCUCUUGGUUUUCAUGUCCUCCACAACCCUCCGAAUGGUGUUGUUAAUUGUUUAACUUAUGACAUGUACGGGAAUACUUUCCCACGUUUUGUUUCGGUUUAGCCUUGUUUGGCUCCCUUUUAUAUCAAAAAAAAAAAAAACAUUUGAUACGUUAUUGUUAUUGGAGGAUACAAAUGUUGCUAAUCCCAAAAAAAGCCCCUAAACUUAUUUCUCUCUUUUUAACGUUUAACGAACUUUGGAUCUCGCGGGAAAAUCCCUCCAACGUGGCGACCUACAAUUGGCUACUCUACGUGUUUGAUUAAAGUCCGAUUCUAAUUUUGAGUUCUUGUGAGAUUUGACGAAAGAACUCAUCAUGUUAAGUAUGUCUUAGGAUUUAAUAUAGAUAAGGAAUCCUAGUCCUUGAAUGCUGCGGCCGGCAAGCAAAAGCAACGUGUUUCAUCAUCAUUGGCUCGACUACUAUAGCAAAGAACAAAGGACACAAACACUAUAAAUAGCUCGCCCCUUCAAGCUCGUUUCGCUCCACUUGAAAACAGAGAAAGCAGAGGAAACGCUUCAUAAAAGCAGCCAAAAAAACAAAUCCAGAGAGAAAGCACGCGCAAAAGCAAGCAAAACAAUGAAGAUCAAGAACAAAGCAUUAGCUAUCUUUUUUCUCUUUGCUUUACGUAAGUACUUUCCUCUUUCUGUUCUGCUAGAAGAAACCUUUAUCAUCGUAUUUGGUUUUGUUUAUGCUCUGUUCUUUUGGCCGAAUUUUACUCUUUUUUUUUUUUUUUUUUCAGAUUUCUCGUCAGGUUUAGCUGCAGCGGAUGAUACUACAACGAAGCUAAGGACGGUGAUUGGCAUUGAUCUAGGGACUACGUAUUCUUGUGUGGGUGUAUACAGAAACGAUCAUGUAGAGAUUAUAGCGAACGACCAAGGCAACAGAAUCACCCCGUCAUGGGUUGCAUUCACUGAUACUGAACGUCUGAUUGGGGAAGCCGCCAAAAAUCAAGCGGCCCUCAACCCAGAGCGUACGAUCUUUGAUGUGAAGCGCCUCAUCGGGGGAAAGUAAGCAGUCACACACCCUGUUUUAGUUUACGAUAGUUUAUUGUUGGUGUGUGUUUGGAGGCGAUUUUGUGCUUGUCUGGUAAUAGAGUUAAAGCUGUUUUUAAGUAAUUCUCUAAAAAAGCACUUUUAAACUCGCUUGUUUGCUUUUGAUGCUGUAGGUUUGAUGAUCCUGAGGUGCAAAGAGAUAUGAAGUUCUUGCCUUAUAAGGUUGUGAACAAAGGUGGCAAGCCUUAUAUUCAAGUGAAAGUGAAAGGAGAGACCAAGGUCUUUAGCCCUGAGGAGAUCAGUGCUAUGGUGCUUCAAAAGAUGAAGGAAACAGCUGAGGCAUUCUUGGGGAAGAAAAUUAAAGACGCUGUCGUUACCGUUCCAGGUACAUAUACAUAUUACCGUUCUUGUUCUGUACUGUUUGCAUAUCUUGUAUUGUAGUCUAAUGGGUGUCUUUUUGGUUGUUGAUUUUAGCUUAUUUCAAUGACGCGCAAAGGCAGGCAACGAAGGAUGCAGGGGUCAUAGCCGGGCUCAAUGUGGCUCGGAUAAUCAAUGAGCCCACAGCCGCGGCUAUUGCCUAUGGUCUCGACAAGAAAGAGGGAGAGAAGAACAUUUUGGUCUAUGAUCUUGGUGGUGGUACAUUUGACGUUAGUAUCUUGAAUAUUGACGAUGGUGUGUUUGAGGUUCGUGCCACACGCGGAGACACUCACUUGGGAGGAGAGGACUUCGAUCACAGAGUCAUGGACUAUUUCAUUAAGUUGAUUAAGAAAAAGUACAGCAGAGAUAUAAGCAAUGAUAACAAGGCUCUUGGGAAGCUUCGAAGGGAAUGUGAGAGGGCCAAGAGAGCUCUGAGCAGCCAGCAUCAAGUCAGAGUGGAGAUUGAGUCACUCUUUGACGGUGUUGAUUUCUCGGAGCCAUUGACAAGAGCAAGAUUCGAAGAGUUGAACUUGGACCUGUUCAAGAAGACAAUGGGGCCUGUGAAGAAGGCAUUGGAAGAUGCCCGGUUGAAGAAAACUGACAUUGAUGAGAUUGUACUUGUCGGAGGAAGUACUCGAAUCCCCAAGGUUCAGCAAUUGUUGAAGGACUUGUUUGAUGGGAAGGAGCCUAACAAGGGCGUCAAUCCAGAUGAAGCUGUUGCAUAUGGCGCAACAGUUCAAGGUGGGAUUCUUAGCGGCGAAGGGGGUAAAGGUAAAGGAUCCACUAUUUUUUUUUUUUAAUCUUCUCUUUUAUCAGGAUGCAAUUGAUUAAUUAGAAUAGCUAAGUAUACAAAGCUUUUUGUUUGCUGCAGACCUUCUAUUGCUGGAUGUGACUUCCUUGAGUCUUGGUAUUGAAACAGUGGGUGGUGUUAUGACCACGCUAAUUCCCCGGAACACUGGUAUCCCCACUAAGAAAUCUCAGGUUUUUUCCACUUACCAAGACCAGCAAAGCACAGUGACUAUUAAGGUAUAACAAGUGAUUUGCAUGAUUGCAUACGCGGAUAAACUGAUGCUGCACAUUCAUUCUUUCUACUUUUGAACUAACAUGUACUUGAAAAUUGAAAUUAAAAUUCAGGUGUACGAAGGUGAAAGAAGCUUGACAAAGGAUUGUCACGAGCUUGGACGAUUCGAUCUAUCUGGCAUUCCACCUGCUCCAAGGUAAAUUACAUUUCAAUAUAUGCAUUCGAUUGGUUGAAGAUUGAUCUGGAUACUUAACAUGUUCUAAAUGUUGUUACAGGGGAGUUCCUCAAAUUCAGGUCACAUUUGAUGUUGAUGCCAAUGGUAUCCUACAUGUGACAGCUGAAGACGAGGCAGCGAAGAACAAGCAAUCCAUCACCAUAACCAAUGAUAAGGGCCGUUUCAGCGAGGAAGAGAUUCAGAGGAUGGUGAAGGAGGCUGAGGAAUACGCGGAGGAGGAUAAGAAUGCGAGGGAGAGGAUUGAUUCCAGGAACAAGUUGGAAAGUUACAUCUACAACAUGAGGAGCACCAUCAACGAAAAAGAUAAUCAUAAGCUUGCUGACAAGAUCGAUUCUGAUGAUAAGGAGAAGAUCGAGAGCACACUGAUGGAAGCUCUUGAAUGGUUGGAUGACAAUCAGAAUGCCGAGAAGGAUGAUUUUGAUGCGAAGCUGAAGGAGGUGGAAGCUGUAUGCAAUCCUGUGAUCAAAGAGGUUUAUGAGAAGAGUGGGGGGAGUUCGUCACCUGCUGAUUAUUCAGAAGAUGAAGAACCAGAUGAUGAGCUGUAAAAACCUUGGGGAUUCAAUUUUCUUUUGUUGCCUUUUUAUUUUUUUUGUUUAUUUUGCCAUGUUGUCAACUAAUUUCCCAGAGAUACCAUAAAUGUUAUUCUAAUAGUUACCAUCAAUUUUUCUGAAAUGACUUUUAAUUGUUUAAAUCUAUUUGUGAUUGUACUGAUUUCUUAUAUUUACAAGCACAUAACAAUAUUGAACCAAAAUGUUAUUAAGAAUUCUGAUGCCUUUACAAAAAAAGAAAAAGAAAAAAGAAACAGAAGCAAGUUAAAUAAGCAAAAGCAAAAGUAGACAGAGACUAGCUAAUAAAUUGCAGCAGCUAAUGAAUAAUCUUCAAGCAUUAAAGAAGUCGAUAAGCAUGGAAACUGAAGCUUCAGAGUGAGGCAACACAAGUGAAUGAGAUUUCAUUGCUUGUAUGAAAGCAGAGACUUUCCCAGCGUCAAGAAAGUUAUUGCUGUGUUCUUUAGCUUCAACGGCCUGGCUGCUGCUGCUACUACUGCUGCUUGAUUCAACAACAUUAAUAAUAUUGUGGUGGCUGGAGCCAUUAUCAUUUCCCCAAAUGGUUAGACCCUUUUCACGCAGCUUGGCUAACUCACUUGUCCAUAUAUCCACAAGUGCAGACAUUAUUGUUGCUAAUUAAAUUUUGAAGAAGAUAUCUUGAGUUAAUGUUUUUGAUUGUAAGAUGUUUUGAGAUAUCAAGAUUUUGAUGGCUGAAUGGGGUUUAUAAAGGCUAUGAUCAAUUGUUGGUUUUGUUUCGAUUUUCAACGGCGCACAAAUUUUGUUGUAUAGAGCGAUCAAGUUCACA